AGCAUUGGUUUAACUCUUAUUAUGAUACUAGGAUCUUUAAGAAUUAAAACUGCUUUUUCAUGGUUGUUAUUCUAUUUUUCUAAUGGAUUUUCUCUAUAAGAAGCUUGUAAGUCCUGUUUUAUCUUCUCUAAAUUGAGACAUUUACAAGAGUAAUUUUUUGGGGUAUCUAAAAAUUUCUUUUUAAAGAUUCCAUUUUCUUUUAUCAAAAUAUAAGGAUUAUGUUUCCUUGGAAUUUUUAUGAACUGAUUACAUGAGGUUUUAAAACUAACCAUAUCUAUGAUCUGAUGAUAAUUUUGAAACUGUUGUAUAAAAUUAUUUCCUAAUAGUAAAUCAGUGUCAAGUUUGUCAUAUGCAAAAGCAUAUUUUAUAGAAACAAUUUUAGAUCCUAAAAUUAUUUCUACGUUUUUUUUUCAUGUGUUAAUUUUUUUUAUUUCCUGUAAUACCUAUCAAGGUGAUAUUAUUAUUAUUAUUUGUAUCCCAAUUUUUUUUAUUAAAAAGGAUUUUUCCAAACUAGCUUCUGACCCGUUAUCUAUUUAACAACAAAAAGUUAGUUUUAUUUCGUAGGUUGUGAAUUCUAUGAAUACUGAUACUCUAAAAGAGGUUUCCUUUGGUAUUUAGAUUUUUGGAAUAAAACAAGUUUUAUCUCCCAAAGUUAUUUGGAUUCCUUCCUUUUGGAUAUUAUAUUGAUCCAAACUAUUUAGGAAUGUUCCUCCUAAGAUUAUAUUAUAAUCAUUUUCAUGAUUACUAAUAUAACAAGGAACUUCCGUUCUGAUUGUUUUAAGUUGUAUUGGUAACUUUACCAUUUUUGAACAUUCAUAGCUAUUUCCUUCAAAUGUUUUGUAAAUGUAUGACUUACCUUCAUAGCUAAUUAAUCCGUCUAAGAUACUUUCCUUGACGUGAUUUGCUGAUGAUCCUGACUGUAUUAGGAUUAUUUGUUUGUUCCCGUGCUUCCGUUGAAGAAUCUUCCUGAAACUUCUAUAACAUUUUUAGAAUCCUCAAUAUUAAAUCUUCUAAGAUUACCUUUCCUUAUGGAGUUUCUCCUAUAUUCUAUUGAGAGUCUUUGACUUGAGGUGGAAGAACUUCCUAUUUCUGUUGCUUUUCCCACAUGAAUUUCAUAUUCAGUAGGAAUAUUUGGUUGUUGAGUUUCUGCUUCAACUAUCUGGCUACUCUUGUGCAUUUUUGGUCAAUUUCGACCAGACUUUUAUUUUUAUAGACAUUUUCAUGAUUUGAAUUGGUAAUCAAUCGUAUAUAGAGCUUGAUAAUAUAUGCUCAUGAUAUGAUUACCUGGUUUGAAUAAAUCCUUUCUUUUUACCUGAAAAUGCAAACUUAAAGCUUCAUUAAAAUUUGCAUCUUUUAGUGAAAUACAAUACCUAGGAUAAUAGGUGAAUAAUAAUUUGGUAUAAGCUAAAUUUCCUUCAACAAUUCCAAGGUUUCCUUCUCUAGUAUUUAUAAAUUUUUCAUCUGAAAGGUUAAUUACUAUGGGACAGUCAAUUCCCUCUUUAAGGGUAGAUUUAACCAUUAUUUAGAUUCCUCUCAGAUGAAUUAUCACGAACCGAACAAGGGCCAGGCCGUGACAGACAUCCCAAACCAUGAAGGCCCGGACAUCCUACUCUAUCUGGUAUCAUGCACAACAUUCAUAUAAUAAAAGAAAAUGUGAAAUUACGAUCUAAUACAGAAACAUGGCCAUACUCUAGAUUAAGUUUAAUAAUAAGAAAUAAAAUCUGAAAAUCACUAACAACAUCUAGAACAGCCUGCGAAAUCUCUAAUACAUGAAAAUCUGACAACUAUCUGAAAACUGGGACAAGGCCCCCAGUAGGCGAAAACUAUAAUAGAUGACAUAAUCUAAAAGGACAGUCCUUCUGGAAUAGAGAAGGCUCACCACUGCACAAUCUGAUCUACUGUCUGAAUUAUCUACUACUUAUCUGGACCACUAGACUAAGCCUCAGAACCUGAGAGGUAGGGGAGGGGGUUAAUACAGAUGUACUGCUACGCAGAGCAAAUACAAAAUAAUCAUUUAUAUUCAACAUAUAUGAGAGCAAUUUAAAGUAGUUCAUAAACAUAUCAUAUAGUAAGAAAUCACAUGGGCAUUUCAAAAGACUCUGUGAAAGCCUAUGAAAUCUGUGACACUCUUUGUCUUACUUCUGCGCUAGGUGGUGUACCUUACAAUCUAUAAUCCCACGGGCUAUAUGGGAUAUGCCAUUAACUCGGCAGCCAAGCCCCCAACCCAAGUGUACCGCAAGGGUCAGAGUCUCUGAAUCUACAAUGCCACACGGUCGUCGCCAGUGUACAAUAAUAAUCUACUCGUAUCGGCAAAUACAGUUUCAGGCUAAGAGUUACUUGAACUCAUGCCUUCAUUGGGUAACUACCUAACCCUCUUUACGCCCAUUUUUAGUUCUUUAAACAUGUAUGCUCUGAAAAUAUACUCUGAAAUCUUUAACUCUGUCAUGGCAUAUACACAUAUAUGGUAUCGUCAUAUCAUUGACUUGUAAGUCACAUUCUCCGAGCCAUUUAUAGCAAUUUAUAUCUCUGUUUUCAAAUCAUGAAAAUUCAGGACCACCAUAACAACAAUUUGUUCAAGGAACUCAUGCUUUAAAAUUCAUGUAAAACCAUGCAAGCAAUUCUCUUUAUCAACGAUUUAACAAAGAAUGGUGGUCAUGUCCAAAGUCUCUAUCUCAUGCAAUUCUUCUCUUUAACACAAAACAUAGUUAUCUCAAGACACCCUCUCAAUAAUUCUAAAUCAUUGUUUCAAAUACUAUGACAUUGAGAAAACAUCUUUCAAAUCACAGACAUGCAUUUUAACUCUUUUCCAACAAAACCAAAAUCUUUAAUUUAUCAUAAGAGAGGGAGUCCAUAAUUUAUGCUCUCAAAUAAUCUUAAACCUCAAAUUUUAUACAUAUACAUAUACAUGUAAAUCAACUUAGGGGGAUAGGACUAAGGGCCAAAUCAACAAUGCAUUUAAGCAUUCAUAAUGCAUAAUAAAAUCAUGCAUUUCAAAACCCCUUUUAUAAAAUCAUGCUUGAAAAUAUUUAAAUCAUGUUCUAGUGUUUCCAAGCCCAUGUAGUUUUUAGGAUAAACCCCAUGUACCUUAAAUUAUAAGAUCUGAAAGAUGGAACCUAGAUCUUGAUAGAUGAAACCCGGAUCUUGAUUUGUUUUUUGGAGAUAUUGAACUUAAGGCUUGAUUUUCUUGAAUUUCUUGUUCUUGGAGAAAACCCUAAUUUGAUCUUAUUUUGAGAGUGAAGAGGAAGUUUUUGAUGUUGUAAAACUGAUAAUGAUUUAUUAAUAACACUUAAGGGGUGAUUUAAUUGGUGUGAAAGGUUUUUGGAGUGAGGGAAAGGCCAAAAUACGCCUACAAAAUCACUUCCCAAUUGCUGAAAUUCUCGGCUGAUAACCAAGGCUAACAAGCCAUCAGAUCUGUGAUACGACGUCAGCUUUUGUCGUCACCUGGGAGAUAAAAUUGAUGGAUUUUUGCCUAAGGCUGAUGACAUAUUCUGACAAGUCAUUAGAUUUGUUACAAGCCGUCAGAAUUGUCGUUACUCAGUUGCCAGGCUGAUAUACUGGAGUAAAAUGGGCAUAACUUUUUGCUCCAGUAUCGGAUUUUUGCAAAAUUGGUGGCGUUGGAAAGAGGAUUCAAAGAAAUUUCAUUUAAUUUAUAGUAGGCCACCCGGUUCAUCAUAUACAAGGAUUUAUGUCCGAUUGAAGUUGACCCAAGUUUCGAUGUUUACUAAAACUCGAAUGAUAGGAAAACUUUCAACUAGUUCUUGAGUUAAGGGACCUCUAUGAUCUCAACUCAUGCUCGAAUAAAUUCACACACUACAUAAUUGAUUAAAACACUAUAUGUACAUCAAAUUUAUGGCUUUUGGAACAUCUACGCGGAAUAAUGGUUUUCGUUCUAGCCCGAAAUGCGGGGUGUUACAUUAUCUCCCCCUUGGGAUCAUUCGUCCCCGAAUGAUGGGUAGGAACGUUGAAGCUAAAGGUAUGGAAUAACGCAGACAUGAUGUGUCUUAUAAGUAAGGAUAUAACUGAUCUAAGACAUUUAAACUUCUAUCAUGAAACUAAAUUCUGAGUUGACUUGACUUUACUUGCUUCAAGGAGCUGAUUCAUGCUGAGAGUUUAGGAUUUCCUUGGAGUGUUCAUGAUCUAAUCAUACAUAUUGAAUUGAGGAGUGAUAACUUAUACAAGUAUGAAUCAUGAGACAACUGUACUUAGAUCGGAUCAGGGUAUUACACUGUCUGAGCUAAAAUACUUAGGAAAAUUUGGGAUUAUGCGCUGAACUCUUAUGAACUGAGUCAUGACUAAAUAGCUGAAUAUGAAACAUGAUGCUUAGAUUGAAUUGGAUUCGCAAUUUACAUGUUUGGAAUAGAUUAUCUCUUAGAAUGGUCAUACAUAUGAGACCUUAGAUAGUAGGACUGGGUUAAAAGGUGGAAAACCGUAGGAACAUGUCUGCCUGACUGUUACUUACUUUCAAGGUUAGCCACACUUCUAAAAUACUCUCUCAACUAUACUUUCCCCUUAAACACCAUGCUCAUUGAUUCCACUUAUUUUUCUUACAUGGCCGCUAAUAUUUCCAUCUACUAAUGUCUAAACUGAACUAAAUCCCCUCACCAUAUUUAAGCCUAACUCAAAAUCACAGGACGCACCACAUAAUAAUAUAGUUCUAGUUUGAAUCAUGAAUUCAGUACACCUUGCAUUUCAUAAUUCCUCAUCUCAUGCAUAAUUCAUAUUGCCACUCCAACAAUCACCUUCAACUUCACAGUAGACAUUCACAAACACUCAAAGCAUCCAUUCAUAUGCAUACAAACAUGACAUUCAAACCUAUCUUCAUACCCACAUAUGCACUUCUAAACAAACACUCAUAAAGAAUCUUUCUCAAAUUCUCUAAUACUUCUAUCCAUAACAACUUCCCAGCAUUAUUCAAAUGAUACACAUAAAAUAUUCUCAACUAACCAAGCCAUACACGAAACUUUACCUCAAAAUUCUUUCAACUUAUGGACUUACAUAAAACAAGCACACAAUAAUUUUUCUCAAAUAUAACACAUAAAACUUCAACUAACCUUGACAUGUAUCAAAGACUUGGCCUCAAUCUUACUCCAUAAUUACUACCUUAACUCAAAUAAGCACACAACCAUCUUUCAUCACAAGAAAUGUUUACUCUUUUCCAUCUAGACAACUAUUCAUUAUCACUAACUUGACCUAAGAGAAAAAGGUCACUAAAAAAUUGGAAUACCGGAAUUCGGAACAUGAGAGGAGUACUAAUCAUAACUUGAUACCUUACUGAGGCGUGAGAAAUAGAGCACCCACGACAUGGACUCAUUAAAGAGAUCUAAUCCGAGGGCUUACCUGAUAUAAAUCUGAAUUUUCACUGAUCGUUAAGUGUAUCACAUGUGCACAAGAGUCAUGAACUGCAUGACCUAAAUUUUUUUGGAAUUCAUAACUUACAAAAAGUGAUUCUGACUGUUGAACAAACUGGGAGAUCAUCAUACCAGGAACUAGGAGAGUACAUAAUUCUUUAUCAUAUGCAUGAACACGGACUAUGAUUAUGAAGCUGAAACAUAAAGCAUGAGUAUGUAUUGGAAUAACUAAAGUAAAAUGCUGAAAUAAGAAUAGAUUGAGCAUCGUUCUUUCUCACGGCCAAUUCCAUAACUUACUGACACAUUUAUUAGCAUCUGAAAACUUGACUUGGUUACUCAUUCUAUCAUCUCCCCCUUGGAUUUAAGACAUUGCUCUAAGUCUGUGAACCUCUAUAUACACUCUGGUAUAAACUGAAAUCACUUUACUCUAGAGUCGGGGAUAUAACAAUACACAUAAAACUAAACUUACUCUGUAAGGUGGUAACUUCUUGUAUAACAACCAAUGCUCAUAACUCUUUCUAAGAUUCAACCCUUAGGUUUCUAUAGCCCCAAAAGUCAUCAUAUACAACAACAAUAAACCCAUUGUAUUCCCACAAAGUGGGCUCUGGGGAGGGUAAAAUAUACGCAGUCCAUACCACUACCUCCAAACAAGUAGAGAGGUUAUUUUCGAUAGACCCCUGACUCCAGGUAGUGAAUAGUAAUCAAAACGUAGUGAAGCAUGAUGGAUGACAUAACAUAAAAAGGAAUAAUACAUACUAAAAUAAAAAUAAAAUAAAGUAUAAAUCCAAGCAAUAAUAAAUAAGAUAAAUAGGCACAAUAAAUAAGAGAUAAGCGAUAGGGCAUCUAGUAUACGACACCCCCUAGUAGUAACAAACAUUCACCGACCAGGGACACCUAGGCCCUCCUGACUAGUGGCUCUUACCUACUUGCUAUAACUCACACACUCAUCCUAGCCUUCUACCCUUAUCCGCAACCUCCACGCCUUCCUAUCUAGGGUCAUGUCCUCGGUAAGCUAUAGUUGCUCCAUAUCAUAUCUAAUCACUUCCCUCCAGUACUUCUUCAGCCUAUAUUUUCUCCUCCUGAAACCCUCCAAUACUAUCCUUUUACACCUGCGGACUGGGGCAUCCGUACCCCUCCUUAUCACAUGCCCAAACUAUCUCAACCUUCCUUUCCGUAUUUUAUCCUCCACGGAAGCCACUCCCACCUUCUCUCGAACUAUCUCAUUCCUAAUUCUAUCCCCUCUAGUAAGACCACAUAUCCAAUGCAACAUUCUCAUUUUUGCCACCUUUAUUUUUUAAAUAUGGGAGUUCUUGACUGGCCAACACUCUGCUCCAUAUAGCAUAGCUGGACGGACUGCCACUUUGUAGAAUUUGCCUUUAAGCUUAAGUGGGACCUUCUUAUCGUACAACACUCCCGAGGUGAGCCUCCACUUCAUCCAACCUUCUCUAAUAUGGUUAGCAACAUCCUCAUCAAUUUUGCCAUUCCCCUGAAUCGUAGAUCCAAGAUACUUAAAACUAUCCCUCUUACAAACAUCCUGGGAAUCCAACCUCACGACCACAUCUUUCUCCCGCAUCAAUUCACGAAGCUUACAUUCCAUAUACUCCGUCUUAGACUUACUCAACCUGAACCCCUUAGAUUCCAGAGUUUGCCUCCAAACCUCCAAUUUUUCAUUCACACCUCUUCGCGUCUCAUCAAUCAACACUACAUCAUCCGCAAACAACAUACACCAUGGUAUCUCCCCUUGGAUACUUUGCACCAACAUGUCCAUCACCAACUCAAAUAGAAAAUGACUAAGAGUCGAACCCUGAUGCAACCCUAUCACAACGGAAAAAUGUUUUUGAGUCCCCUUUCGCAGUUCUCACCCAUCUUUUCUCUAUCUUACAUGUCCUUAAAAGCUCUGAUGUACGCUACCGGGACUCCUCUUGCCUCUAGGCAUCUCCAAAGAACCUCCCUAGGGACUUUGUCAUAUGCCUUCUCCAAGUCGAUGAACACUAUGUGUAAAUCCCUCUUUCUUUCCCUAUACUACUCCACCAAUCUCUUCACUAGGUGGAUUGCCUUCGUCGUUGAGCAACCAGGCAUAAAACCAAACUAAUUCUAUGAAAUAGACAUGAUCUUCCUCAAUCUCUACUCAACCACCCUCUCUCAAAUCUUCAUAGUAUGACUCAACAGUUUGAUACCCCUGUAGUUGGUUCAACUCUGAAUGUCACCCUUAUUUUUGUAUAACGGAAUCAUUGUACUCCACCUCCAAGCCUUGGGCAUUCUCGCCGUCUUGAAAAUGAUGGUAAACAAAAUAGUUAACCACCUUAAACCUACCCUACUUAUAAACUUCCCAAAAUCUACCGGAAUCUCAUUAAGCCCUGUCGCUUUUCCCCUCUGCAUUGUACAAAUAAGUUUUCUGACCUUCUCAACCGUAAAACAUCUAUAAUAACUGAAAUCACGUCUCUUGUUUGAGUGCUCCAGCUCUCCUAACUCAAUGUCUCUAUCCACCUCCUCAUUCAAAAGCCUAUGAAAAUACUCCUUCCAUCUCUUCUUAAUAUGGGCUUUCUCCACCAAAACUCUACCAUCCUCCUCCUUAAUGCAUUUCACUUGGUUGAGGUCUCAUCCCUUCCGCUUCCUAGCCUUAGCAAGACUAAACAACCUCUUUUCCCUGCCUUUCUUCUGUAGUCCCGCAUAUAAGCUCUUAGACGCUGCAGUCUUAGCCGUCGUAACUGCAAGCUUAGCCUCCUUUCUUGCAACUUUGUAGACCUCAUUCCCCCUCUUCUCAUCUGCAUCUUUACUCUCAAUCAACUUAACAUAUGCCCCCUUUUUAACCUCCACUUUUUUCUUAACUUCUUCAUUUCACCACCAGUCCCCCUUAUGGCGUCCUGCCCGACCCCUCAAAACUCCUAACACUUCAAUAGCCAUCUCCGUGAUGCAGCUGGCAGCCUUAUCCCAUAUAGCAUCCACUUCCCCCUACAGUCCCACACCUCCAAUCCCACAACUUUCUCCUCUAUCACCAGCGCACUUUCAGGCGUUAAGCUACCCUACCUAAUUCUAGGCCGACCAUCCCCAGCCCUUCUCUUCUUGCUCUUCUUCAAAAAUAAGUCCAUCACCAGAAGCCUGUGCUGAGUCGAAAGAUUCUCGCUCGGAAUGACUUUGCAGUCCUUACAUAAAACCCUAUCCCCCUUCCUUAGCAACAAAAAUUCAAUCUGGGUCUUGGCUACUAUGCUACUGAAGGUAAUAAGGUGAUCCCCCUUCUUCUACAAGCUUGAGUUCACCACCACUAGCCCAAAGUCCCUCGUAAAAUCUAACAGAGACAAUCUCAUUAUUUCUGUCACCGAAACCAAAUCCCCCAUGCACCUCGUCGUAGCCUCCUGGCAGAACCCCAAUAUGUCCAUUAAAGUCCCCACUGUGACAAUCUUCUCUGAACAAGGCAUGCUUCUCACCACCUCGUCCAAAGCCUCCCAAAACCUUGCUUUUACCUCUUUUCCCAAGCCUACCUGUGGUGCAUAAACACUACACACAUGCAGCGUAGACCCUUCAAAGACCAACUUUAUCAUCCAAAAGUUAUCAUAUAACAACUUAAAUAUUCACCAACUUAGAUUCUUCUAACACUACACAUGGAUAUCUCUAAACCUUUGACGGACCAUACCAUUUCUGUCAUAGUCUACCUGCAUUAUGCCUGCAAACUUAUAUUUCUAGACCAUGAGAAUCAAGAUUAUGCAAAAAAAGGCUCAACAUCAUUAAUCAUAACUCUAUAACUUAGCUAUUAAGAACAUUACAUAUUAUCUAACUAGUAUUUCUCCAUCUAGCAACUCAGUACUACUAACCACACAACAUGUAAUGAUCCUUGAAAAUAAUGCAGCCCCAUAGCACCUUGGGCGUACUUCUAAAUCAUACUUACAAUAUCAGACUUAAUUACGAAUCAAAUAAACUUAAGCUCUUGUAUACACUAUUCAAGCCUACUAGAUCACUUUUACAUAACUAACACCCACCACAACAAUCAUUAUAUCCACCUUGAUUACCAUCUACUAUUCCAACUUAGUUUCUAGUUCUAGCUAUGAUGAACCACAUCUUCACGCAAUUUCCUUACAUUCUAAACAUCUGAAAACAUUAAUCUGUCAAAACUACAUAACAGUAAGAAUCAAUCAAAAUCCUAUGAUCUAUCUUAUUUAAAAUCCAUUAACACAUCCUUCUUCUACACAUCAUUACUAUCUACCCUUUUAUACAACUAAACUUAGUUCAUAGCUUUACAAGUCCCAACUAAACUCCCUCUUGCAACCUCAGGGGCACCUAAAUUAACAACACUCAUCCACCAAGUACCUUCAUCAAUAACCUAUAAUUUUCUUACACGCCAAACACUGUCAAUAACUCUUUUCAUACUUCAUAAACAACAAUUUGCCUUAACUAAUAACUCCUUCUCUACCUUACCUUCUACUAAACUAACACACAGGGACGUAUCAUUUCAUUACCAACUUAAUCUCAUGCAAAAAGAUUUGGCCAUACAUAUAUUCAAUAAAUCGUCCUUACCACUUUCCUUGCCAUUAUGCCACUAAAUCCCCAGUCCCAACCAACACAGGAACAACAAGUUGCUAGUGUAUCGAAAUAGGCCCCACACGACUUCACUAGACUUUGAUUUGUUUUUUGAACAAAAUAAUCUAAGUCAAAUACUUCCUCCCACAUACUACCAUACAAUCCACACAUGCUACUAGCUACCACAUUAGUCUAUCACUAUAAAAGGGAAAAUUAUUCUCAAACAUCAUUUAUUCAACUAAAUUAUUAAUUCACACAAAAGUCACCUACACUCAGAUUUCUAACUUUGUGACUUUAUAUCACCAGCUUCUUGGUCUAAUCUCACUACUACAAUAGAUCAUGACACCGACACUUUAACUUAUACUAUACUCGGGUGAAAAUACAGUUCCAACAUUCUGCUACACCUCAUUCCCUCUAAAGCAUGAUAUCUGCAACAUAAAUUUUUGAAAAGGACUGAAUACCCUUAUUACCGCAGGCUGUAAUGCACGAUUUCAUCAGAACCAAAAUUCGCACUAGAAUUAAUCCACUUUGAAGCACCAACGAACUCUUCUCAAGUCCUUGCAUAAUUUUUAAAAUCUUAUAUGAAAUCAAACAAAAAGGACCAUACCAUUUAAAUUCUAAACUUCUGCACUUGAUUCACCACAAUAAUAAGACAUAUUGGAGCCCAUCAAAGUAAGGAAAGAAUUGGGAUAACUUUACUUUUGUAUGGGCAACACCAUAGCACGAAUUAGAGUAUGAAAGAUGAAUAUUCUGACUCCAUAGCAUGAACUAGAAUAUGAAGAAAGGGAAACAUUCCUAAACGCCUAGUAGCCUCCUGCUUAUAAGUGUGGCGCGCUACACACCCAUAAACAAACUCUACCCGACGCAAUUUCGUAGACACCCUGGGAUCAUGAACCGUGCUUUGAUACAAAGUUUGUCAUGACCUGAACUAGGGCCUGGCCAUGAUGGACAUACCGAACUAUGAAGUCCUAGAUGCCCUACUCUAUUUGGUAAUCACGCACAACUUUCAUAUAGUUAAAGAAAAUAUGGAAUUACUAUCUAAUACGGAAACAUGGUCAUACUCUGGAUUAAGUUUAACAAUAAGGAAUGAAAUCCAAAAAUCAGUAACAACAUCUGGAACAGUCUGCAAAAUCUCUACUAUAUAAAAAUUUGACAACUAUCUGAAAACUGGGAUAAGGCCCCCAGUAGACCAAAACUGUAAUAGAUGACAUAAUCUGAAAGGACAUGCCUUCUCGAGUAGAGAAGGCUCACCACUGCAUAAUCUAAUCUGCUAUUUGAAUUAUCUACUGCUUAUCUGGACCUCUAGAUUGAGCCUCAAAAUCUGAGAGGUAGGGGAGGGGGGUCAAUAUAGAUGUACUGGUACGCAGAGAAAAUCCAAAAUAAUCAUUUAUAUUCAACAUAUAUGAGAGAAAUUUAAAGUAGUUCAUAAACAUAUCAUAUAGUAAGAAAUCACUUGGGUAUUUUAAAGGACUUUGUGAAAACAUCCGAAAUUUAUGACACUCUUUGUUUUACUUUUAUGCUAGGUGGUGUACCUUAAAAUCUGUAAUUCCAUGGGCUAUAUGAGAUCUGCCAUUAACUCGACAGCUAAUCCCCCAACCCAAGUGUGCCUCAAGGGUUAGAGUUUCUUAAUCUACUACGCCACAUGGCCGUCGCCAGCUCACAAUAAUAAUCUACCUGUAUCAACAAAUACAAUUUCAGACUAAGAGUUACUUGAAAUCAUGCCUUCUUCGGGUAACCACCUAACCAUAUUUAUGGCUAUUUUUAGUUCUUUAAACAUACAUGCUCUGAAAACAUACUCUGAAAUCUUUAAAUCUGUCAUGGCAUAUACACAUAUAUGGUAUCGUCAUACCAUUGACUUAUAAGUCACAUUCUCUGAGCCAUUUAUAGCAAUUUAUAUCUCUAUUUUCAAAUCAUGAAAUUUAGGAUCACCAUAAUAACAAUUCUUUCAAGGAAAUCAUGCUUUAAAAUUCAUGUAAAACCAUGCAAGCAAUUCUCUUUAUCAACAAUUAACAAACAAUGAAGGUCAUAUCCAAAGUCUCUAUCUCAUGCAAUUCUUCUCUUUUAACACAAAACAUAGUAAUCUCAAGACACCCUCUCAAUAAUUCUAAAUCAAUGUUUCAAAUAUUAUGACAUUGAGAAAACAUCUUUCAAAUCACAGACAUGCAUUUCAACUCUUUUCCAACAAAAUUAAAAUCUUUAAUUUAUCAUAAGAGAGGGAGUCCAUAAUUUAUGCUCUCAAAUAAUCUUAAACCUCAAAUUUUAUACAUAUAUAUAUACAUGUAAAUAAACUUAGGGGGAAAGGCCUAAGGGCCAAAUCAACAAUGCAUUUAAACAUUCAUAAUGCAUAAUAAAAUCAUGCAUUUCAAAACCCCUUUUCUAAAAUCAUGCUUGAAAAUCUUUAAAUCAUGUUCUAGUGUUUCUAAACCCAUGUAGUUUUUAGGAUAAACCAUACGUAUCUUAAAUUAUAAGAUCUGAAAGAUGGAAUCUAGAUUUUGAUAGAUGAAACCCGGAUCUUGAUUUAUUUCUUGGACAUAUUGAACUUAAGGCUUGAUUUUCUUGAAUUUCUUGUUCUUGGAGAAAACCCUAAUUUGAUCUUAUUUUGAGAGUGAAGAGGAAGUUUUUGAUGUUGAAAAACUGAUAAUGAUUGAUUAAUAACACUUAAGGGGUGAUUUAAUUGGUGUGAAGGUUUUUUGGAGUGAGAAAAAGACCAAAAUACCCCUAUGAAAUUACUUCCCAGUUGCUAAAAUUCUUGGCUGACGACCAAGGCUGAUAAGCCGUCAGAUCUGUGAUAAGCCGUCGACUUUUGUCAUCACUUGGGAGCUAAAAUUGAUGGGUUUCUGCCUAAGGAUGACGACAUAUUCUGACAAGUCGUCAGAUUUGUGACAAGCCAUCAGAAUUGUCGUCACUCAGUUGCCAGGCUGAUAUGCUGGAGUAAAAUAGGCAUAACUUUUUGCCCCGAGAUCAGAUUUUUGCAAAAUUGGUGGCGUUGGAAAGAGGAAUCAAAGAAAUUUCAUUUAAUUUAUAGUAGGCAACCCAUUUCAUCAUAUACAAGAUUUUAUGACUGAUUGAAGUUGACCCAAGUUUCGACGCUCACUAAAACUCAAACGAUAGGAAAUCUUUCAACUAGUCCUUGACUUAAGGGACCUCUAUAAUCUCGAAUCAUGCUCAAAUAAAUUCACACACUGAAUAAUUGAUUAAAACACUAUAUGUACAUCGAAUUUAUGGCUUUUGGAACAUCUACGCGAAGGAAUGAUGGUUUUCAUUCUAGCCCAGAAUGCGGGGUGUUACAUGAACAUAAUUCAUCUUUUUUUGAGUUCUUUCUGGGAUUUUUCUUAAAAUUUGGUGGAUCAUAGGCUUUGUUAAUAAGUUGAGCUUAUGUCUUCCAGUAGUUUGAGUGACUUCAACUACUUUUUCAAUCUCCUGGUAUUCAUGAUAAGAGAUUUUAUUUCUUGAAAAUAUUCUUUGUAAUCUAUUAAAUAUACUAUCUUCUGUUCGAAGAUUGAAUUUUAAUCCUUGAAUUUUUCUUAAUAAUUCUCCAUCGAAUGUUGCUUUUAAUGCAUAUCCUUGCUGAUCUUCUUCAGCUUCUAUAACCUGAGUAUUUUCUUCUAUAUUUUCAAUUUCUUGAUUCAUUCUUCUGAAUCAGUACUAGAUUCUGAAAAUUCUUCAUAGAGUUCUUCGAGAAAAUCUUCACUUUUUAUAGAUGAGAUUGAUUCUAAGUCUUAUUCUAUUUCCUCUCUAUCUAUUUUAGAUAUUUUUACUCUUUUCUUAUUGCAUUCAUAACUUUUUUGGCCUUCUUCUCCAUAAUUAUAACAUUUACAUUUAUCUGUGGUAGGUUUUCUUCUGAAAUUUUUUCAUUUUUUGAAGUAUUUUUUCCCUGGUAUAUAAUUUUUCUAGGAAAUAUUUUUCCUUUUAAUUAAUCCUUUGUUUUUCCUUUUUCUUUUUUGAAGGGUUUUCGUAACAUCCCCAUUGAGAUGCUGCUUCUGUGUCUUCACAGUAAACUUGUGUACCUAUUCUAUUGGAUUUUCUUUGCAUGUUAUGUAAGAUACAAUGUUGACUAAGCCUUUGGUUAAGGAAGGUAAUUCUUCUUCCCAAAGAAUCCUGCGUUUGAUCUUCCUUCUCAUAUUCAACUCUAAAAUAGCUAGCCCAAUAUCUUGGUAGCUUUUGAUAAUACUUGUCCAUGUAGGGACUUAAGAUUUUACUACUAUCAAAUAAUUGGUAGUAGUAUAUUUCAAACUCACAAGUAUAUUCUUGAAUGUACUUUAUUUUACAAAUUUGCUGCUUUUCUAGCCAUUCUGCCGCUAGUAGCCCUUGUUUUUCUUUUCCUUUAGAAAUGUCUGCUUGGCUUCCUAAAAAUUCUGCUUCUAUAUUCCUCAUUAGGUGAUCUAUUCCUGCUCGAGUUGAUUUAUCAAAAUCUGCUAUGACUUCUAGUCUAAAUACAUUUUCAGCUUCUUCUGAAACUCUUCUGAACCAAUUGUCUACCUUUCCAGUGAAGAUAUUUGUAGAAAUUAAAUAUUUUUCAUUACUAGUAUAAUUAUUUCCUUUCCCUAGUAUAAAAAAUAGUUCUAAGUUUUUUGCCCAUGAGUGUAGAAAUUCUCCUGGCUCUCCUUUACAGUCCAGUUCUAGAAACUGGGUAGAUCCAGUGUCUCCUACUGGGAGUCUAUUUGACAUGAAUUUAGCCUUAAAAUUUAUAUGGUAUUUACUAUUAUAGUCUUUCCAUUUCUUAGAUUUUGGUAGGAAGUUACUCCUAGAUAAUGGCUCGUUGGAUGAACUUUCUUCUUUUUUAGGUUCUUUAAAGUUUCUUUGGGGUCCUCCUGUAUCUCCACGAGUCAUAUGGACACGAUAACUUUGAUCAUUAAGAUCAAGCUCUUCUAAAGCGUAUACUAGUUCGUCUAGUUCAUUCAUUUUCUUCUAUUUCUGUUUUAGAGGUAUAGGCUUCUUCCUUAUCCUUAUCUUUAGAAAUUUUUGAGAUAAUUUCUAAUUCUAAAUUUUCUAAUUCUUCUCUUUGUCUUUUUUCUAGGAAACUAGAUAUAAUUUUUUCAUCAAGACUUCCUUUCUGAUAGAUUCCUUUAUUUGAAAUUCUUGAAACAAAAAUUUCGUCUAUAAUUCUUUUUCCUAAUUCCUUAUUAAAGGUAUCAAUUUUUUCAAUAAGAUUAUGUAUUUUAGCUUGUGAGUUAUUUUUAAGGGUUUUGGUUUCUUCUUCUAUUAGUUUUAUUUUAAGGCUUAUAUGCUUUUGCAUAGCUAAAAGAUCAUCAAGUUUUUUAUGACCUUUUCUAAGAAUUCUUUAUUCAUUUAAACAUCCUAGUUUAUACUCUAGAUGCCAGAUUUCUAGUUCCAGCUCAAAAAUGAUCUUCUUUUGAUAAAAUAAGGAUUUUUUAGAAACUCCUGCAAAUGAGUUAUAAGUAUAUCUUUCCUUUCGGAUGUUAAGUUCUUGCUUUAAUUCUGGUAAUGGUUUUAAAGCCUGCUCUUUAUCCAUGAUAUUUAGGUGGAUCCGUAAACCUAAUUUUGUCAUAAUUAGGUGGUAUACACCCCAUUCUUCUAGACUUUAAAUGUAUUAAUAAUUUUGCCUCAAUACUAGAUAUCACAGUAAUUAAAUAAUUUAAUCUAUCAGGGUCUUUUUUUGUUUCACUUAAUCUUUUAUAUUCUAAAUAGUUACUAUUUAGAGCUGUUUUGACUUCUCUGAAAGCCUGAAUAUUUUUAUAUGGUCUUCUGAUAAUUAGUUUAGUAACUAGGUAGAUUUAACUAUGUGGCUCUGAUUCCAAUAAAAUGAAGUUGUUCGCAAACAUGGUGUGCAUGCAGAAUUUUUAUAUACCAAUAAAAUGAAGCUGUUUGCAGAAUUUUUAUUCACUUAAUCAGUGAAAUAACCAUCAUCAUACCAAUAGUAUGGAUCAUCAUCACUAUCUACAUACGAAUAGUCAUGUAGAUAGAGAUUAAGCUUUAAAAAAUACACAGGUUUAUCUGUUAAAAAGAUCUAAGGUUAAGUUAAAGAAAUACAUACUUUUUAUUGCCUAAUGAGUUAUUACACUAUUUUCUUAAAUUAAAAAAUAUUAAUUACUAUUUUAAAAGUGAUAAAAUUAAAUAAAGAUUUACAAGAUUUUUUUUUUUAAAAAAUUAUAGUUCAUCUUGCUCAAGAACAAUGGUCUAUACAUGACUAUUCGUAUGUAGAUAGUGAUGAUGAUCCAUACUAUUGGUAUGAUCAUGGUUAUUUCACUGAUUAAGUGAAUAAAAAUUUUGCGAACAACUUCAUUUUAUUGUUUUGUAAAAAUCCGCAUGCACACCCUGUUUCCGAACAACUUUAUUUUAUUGGAAUCAUUUUAAUUUUACGAAUAAAUCAACUCGAGCAGAAAUAGAUCAUUUAGUGAGGUGUAUAGGAGCUGAAAUUUUAGGAAGCCAAGCAGACAUUUCUAAAGGAAAAUAAAAACAAGGGCUACUAGCGGCAAAAUGGCUAGAAAAGCUGUAAAUUUAUAAAAUGAAGUUCAUCCAAGAAUAUACUUGUGAGUUUGAAAUAUACUACUACCAAUUAUUUGAUAGUAGUAUCAGAGACGCAUAGUUAAAUCUACCUGAUUACUAAACUAAUUAUGAGAAGACCAUAUAAAAUUAUUCAGUUUUUCAGAGAAGUCAAAAGAGCUCUAAAUAGUAACUAUUUAGAAUAUAAAAGAUUAAGUGAAAUAAAAGAAGACCCUGAUAGAUUAAAUUAUUUAAUACAAUGUUACAGAAGUUUCAGGAAGAUUCUUCAAUGGAAGCGACUGGAACAAACAAAUAAUCUUAAUACUGUCAGGAUCAUCAGCAAAUCACGUCAAGGAAAGUAUCUUAGAUGGGUUAAUUAGCUAUGAUAGUAAGUAAUUCAUUUACAAAAAAAUUUGAAGGAAAUAGCUAUGAAUGUUCAAAAAUGGUAAAGUUACCAGUACAACUUGGAACAAUCAGCACGGAAGUUCCUUGUUAUAUUAGUAAUCAUGAAAAUGAUUAUAAUAUAAUCUUAGGAGGAACAUUCCUCAAUAGUUUGGAUCAAUAUAAUAUCCAAAAGGAAGGAAUCCAAAUAACUUUGGGAGAUAAAACUUGUUAUAUUCCAAAAAUCUAAAUGCAACGUUGCUUUUAAUGUAUAUCCUCGCUGAUCUUCUUUAGCUUCUAUAACCUGAGUGUUUUCUUCUAUAUUUUUAAUUUCUUGAUUCAUUCUUCUGAAUCAGUACUAGAUUCUGAAAAUUCUUCAUAGAGUUCUUCAUGAAAAUCUUCACUUUUUAUAGAUGAGAUUGACUCUAAGUCUGAUUCUAUUUCCUCUUUAUCUAUUUUAGAUAUUUUUACUCUUUUCUUGCUGUAUUCAUAACUUUUGUGGCCUUCUUCUCCGCAAUUAUAGCAUUUACAUUUAUCUGUGGUAGGUUUUCUUUUGAAAUUUCUUUGUUUUUUGAAGUAUUUUUUCCUUGGUAUAUAAUUUUUCUUGGAAAUAUUUUUCCUUAUCAUAAUAAGAGUUAAACCAAUACUUUAUAAUGAAGAAGAUUAAGCUGAAUUUAAAAUUCAGAUACAAGAACUCCUUAAUCUUAAAUUAAUAAGAGCAAGUAAAAAUCCUCACAGUAGUCCAACAUUUAUGGUAAGAAAUCAUGCAGAACAAAAAAGAGGAAAAACUCGAAUGGUUAUUAACUAUAAAGAGCUAAAUAAAAACUAUUUUUUUGAUGGAUAUUUUAUUCCAAAUAUAAAGCUAAAUAAAAACUGUGUUUUUGAUGGAUAUUUUAUUCCAAAUAUAAAAAAUCUAAUUGGAAUAAGAGCCACAUAGUUAAAUCUACCUGGUUACUAAACUAAUUAUGAGAAGACCAUAUAAAAAUAUUCAGGCUUUCAGAGAAGUCAAAACAGCUCUAAAUAGUAACUAUUUAGAAUAUAACAGAUUAAGUGAAACAAAAGAAGACCCUGAUAGAUUAAAUUAUUUAAUUACUUUGAUAUCUAGUAUUGAGGCAAAAUUAAUAAUACAUUUAAAGUCUAGAAGAAUAGGGUGCAUACCACGUAAUUAUGACAAAAUUAGGUUUACGGAUCCACCUAAAUAUUAUGGAUAAAGAGCAGGCUUUAAAACUAUUACCAGAAUUAAAACAAGAACUUAACAUCCGAAAGGAAACAUAUACUUAUAACUCAUUUGCAGGAGUUUGUAAAAUAUCCUUGUUUUAUCAAAAGAAGAUCAUUUUUGAGAUGAAACUAGAAAUCUGGCAUCUAGAGUAUAAACUAGAACAUAAUUUGUUUAAAUGAAUAAAGAAUUCUUAGAAAAGGUCUUACAAAAACUUGAUGAUCUUUUAGCUAUGCAAAAGCAUAUAAGCCUUAAAAUAAAACUAAUAGAAGAAGAAAUCAAAACCCUUAAAAAUAACUCACAAGCUAAAAUACAUAAUCUUAUUGAAAAAAUUGAUACCUUUAAUAAGGAAUUAGGAAAAAGAAUCAUAGACGAAAUUUUUGUUUCAAGAAUUUCGAAUAAUGGAACCUAUCAGAAAGGAAGUCUUGAUGAAAAAAAUUAUAUCUAGUUUCCUAGAAAAAAGACAAAGAGAAGAAUUAGAAAAAUUAGAAUUAGAAAUUAUCUUAAAAAUUUCUAAAGAUAAGGAUAAGGAAGAAGCCUCUACCUCUAAAACAGAAAUAGAAGAAAAUGAAUGAACUAGACGAACUAGUAUACGCUUUAGAAGAGCUUGAUCUUAAUGAUCAAAGUUAUCGUGUCCAUAUGACUCGUGGAGAUACAGGAGGACCCCAAAGAAACUUUAAAGAACCUAAAAAAGAAGAAAGUUCAUCCAACGAGCCAUUAUCUAGGAGUAACUUCCUACCAAAAUCUAAGAAAUGGAAAGACUAUAAUAGUAAAUACCAUAUAAAUUUUAAGGCUAAAUUCAUGUCAAAUAGACUCCCAGUAGGAGACGCUGGAUCUACCCAGUUUCUAGAACUGGACUGUAAAGGAGAGCCAGGAGAAUUUCUACACUCAUGGGCAAAAAACUUAGAACUAUUUUUUAUGCUGGAUCUACCCAGUUUCUAGAACUGGGUUGUAAAGGAGAGCCAGGAGAAUUUCUACACUCAUGGGCAAAAAACUUAGAACUAUUUUUUAUACUAGGGAAAGGAAAUAAUUAUACUAGUAAUGAAAAAUAUUUAAUUUCUACAAAUAUCUUCACUGGAAAGGUAGACAAUUGGUUCAGAAGAGUUUCAGAAGAAGCUGAAAAUGUAUUUAGACUAGAAGUCAUAGCAGAUUUUGAUAAAUCAACUCGAGCAGGAAUAGAUCACCUAAUGAGGAAUAUAGAAGCAGAAUUUUUAGGAAGCCAAGAAGACAUUUCUAAAGGAAAAGAAAAACAAGGGCUACUAGUGGCAGAAUGGCUAGAAAACCUGCAAUUUUGUAAAAUGAAGUACAUCCAAGAAUAUACUUGUGAGUUUAAAAUAUACUGCUACCAAUUAUUUGAUAGUAGUAAGAACUUAACUCCAUACACGGAAAAGUAUUAUCAAAUGCUACCAGGAUAUUGGGUUAGCUAUUUUAGAGAUGAAUAUGCGAAGGAAGAUCAAACGCAGGAUUCUCUGGGAAGAAGAAUUACCUUCCUUAACUAAAGGCUUAGUCAACUUUGUAUGUUACAUAACAUGCAAAGAAAAGCCAAUAGAAUAGGCACACAAAUUUACUGUAAAGACACAUAAGCAGCAUCUCAGUGGGGCUGUUAUGAAAAUCCUUCAAAAAGAAAAAGAAAAACCAAAGGAUUACUUAAAAGGAAAAAUAUUUCCAAGAAAAAUUAUAUAUCUAGGAAAAAAUACUUCAAAAAACAAAGAAAUUUCAGAAGAAAACCUACCACAGAUAAAUGUAAAUGCUAUAAUUAUGGAGAAGAAGGCCACAAAAUUUAUCAAUGCAACAAGAAAAGAGUAAAAAUAUCUUAAAUAGAUAGAGAGGAAAUAGAAUCAGACUUAGAGUCAAUCUCAUUUAUAAAAAGUGAAGAUUUUUACGAAGAACUCUAUAAAGAAUUUUCAGAAUCUAGUACUACUGAUUUAGAAGAAUGAAUCAAGAAAUUGAAAAUAUAGAAGAAAAUACUCAGGUUAUAGAAACUAAAGAAGACCAGCGAGGAUAUGCAUUGAAAGCAACGUUCGAUGGAGAAUUAUUAAGAAAAAUUCAAGUAUUAAAAUUCAAUCUUCGAACAGAAGAUAGUAUAUUUAAUAGAUUACCAAGAUCCUUUUCAAGAAAUAAAAUCUCUUAUCAUGAUUAUCAGGAGAUUGAAAAAGUAAUUGAAUUCACUCAAACUACUGGAAGACAUAAGCUCAACUUAUUACAAAGCCUAUGAUCGACCAAAUUCUAAGAAAAAUUCCAGAAAGAAAUCGAAAAAAAGAUGAAUUAUGUUCAUCUGGGAGGAAUCCAAGUAAUGGUUAAAUCUACCUUUAAAGAAGGAAUUGACUAUCCCAUAGUAAUUAAUCUUUCAGAUGAAAGAUUUAUAAAUACUAGAGAAGGAAACCUGGGAAUUGUUGAAGGAAAUUUGACUUGUACCAAAUUAUUAUUCACCUAUUAUCCUAGGUAUUGUAUUUAAGUAAAAGAUGUAAAUAUUAAUGAAGCUUUAUGUUUGCAUUUUCAGGUAAAAAGAAAGGAUUUAUUCAAACCAGGUAAUCAUAUCAUGAGCAUAUAUUAUCAAGCUCUAUAUACGGUUACCAAUUCAAAUUAUGAAAAUGUCUAUAAAACAAAAGUUGAUCGAAAUUGGCCAAGAAUGCACAGGAAUAGCUAGAAUAGUUGAAGGAGAAACUCAACAACCAAAUAUUUCUAAUGAAUAUGAAAUUCAUGUGGGAAAAACAAUAGAAAUAGUAAGUUCUUCUACCUCAAUUCAAAGACUCAAUAGAAUAUGGGAGAAACUCCAUAAGGAAAGAUAAUUCUAGAAGAUUUAAUAUUAAGGAUUCUAACAAUGUUACAGAAGUUUCAGGAAGAUUCUUUAACGGAAGCGACUGGAACAAAUAAAUAAUCCUAAUACAGUCAGGAUCAUUAGCAAAUCACGUCAAGAAAAGUAUCUUAGACGGAUUAAUUAGCUAUGAAGGUAAGUCAUACAUUUACAAAACAUUUGAAAGAAAUAGCUAUUAAUGUUCAAAAAUGGUAAAGUUACCAAUACAACUUGAAACAAUCAGAAUGGAAGUUCCUUGUUAUAUUAGUAAUCAUGAAAAUGAUUAUAAUAUAAUCUUAGGAGGAAUAUUCCUAAAUAGUUUGGAUCAAUAUAAUAUCCAAAAGGAAGGAAUCCAAAUAACUUUGGGAGAUAAAACUUAUUUUAUUCCAAAAAUCUAAAUGCCAAAGGAAACCUCUUUUAGAGUAUCAGUAUUCGUAGAAUUUAUAACCUACGAAACAAAACUAACUUCUUGAUGUCAAAUAGAUAAUGGGUCAGAAGCUAGUUUGGCAAAAUCAUUUUUAAUAAAAAUGUGGGAUACAAAUAAUAAUAAUAAUAUCACCUUGAUAGGUAUUACAGGAAAUAAAAAAAAUUAACACAUGAAAAAGAAAACGUAGAAAUAAUUUUAGGACCUAAAAUUGUUUCUAUAAAACAUGUUUUUGAUUAAGACAAACUUGACACUGAUUUACUAUUAGGAAAUGAUUUUAUACAAUAGUUUCAAAAUUAUCAUCAGAUCAUAUAUAUGGUUAGUUUUAAAACCCCAUGUAAUCAAUUCAUAAAAAUUCCAAGGAAACAUAAUCCUUAUAUUUUGAUAAAAGAAAAUCGAAUCUUUAAAAAGAAAUUUUUAGAUACCCCAAAAAAUUAAUCUUGUAAAUGUCUCCAGUUACAGAAGAUAAAACAACACUUACAAGCUUCUUAUGGAGAAAAUCCAUUAGAAAAAUGGAACAACAACCAUGAAAAAGCAGUUUUAAUUCUUAAAGAUCCUAGUAUCAUAGUAAGAGUUAGACCAAUGCUUUAUAAUGAAGAAGAUAAAACUGAAUUUAAAAUUCAAAUACAAGUACUUCUUAAUCUUAAAUUAAUAAGAGCAAGUACAAGUCCUCACAGUAGUCCUGCAUUUAUGGUAAGAAAUCAUGCAGAACAAAAAAAGAGGAAAAGCUCGAAUGGUUAUUAACUAUAAAGAGCUAAAUAAAAAUUGUGUUUUUGAUGGAUAUUUUAUUCCAAAUAAAAACAAUCUAAUUAACCUUGCUAAAGGAAAAACCUACUUUUCAAAAUUUGAUUGCAUAUAUAUAUAUACACACUAGUGGGCCCGAACCCGUGCCACGCACAGGCGAAAACAUGAUAGUAAAUAAAAUAGUUAUACUUUAUAUUAUAUAAGCAUUUAUUGGUACGAAAAAUGGUAAAGCUGAAAGUUAUUGGUACAAGAGCAUAGUACAUAAUAUCAAAUUACGUUUGUACGCGUAAAAUUAUGAUAGUACAUAAAAUAAUUAUGCUUCAUAGUAUGUGGAACAAAUAUUAGAUUUUUAUGUUGUUAGCUUGUGGAAGUACUACAUAAAAGUAUUUGUUGGUAUAAAAAGUGCCAAAUUUGAAUGUUCUAGGCACAAGAGUAUGGUACAUUGUUGGUUGAUUGUAGAAACAACAUUUUUUUCAACGCAGUAGUGGAGAAGUAAGACUGGCUUUUGUAAAUUGAACUUCUUAAACAUCUUCUUCUUUGUGUGUUGUGUUGCAACAUCACCUUCAACAUACAUCUAUUCCAUUAUCAAAAAAGCAAAAAACAUUUAUAGAAUUGUUAAAAUAUAAGAAAAUGAUAGAAAAGUGAAUUGAUUAAAACCUCAAAGAAAAAGCAGUUGGUAGAUUGGAAUAAAUGAAAUCACAUCAAAUAAAUUUUUUUUUUGGACAAUUCUAUUAUUCAAGUACGUGAUAAAGUAAGAUGGAUGGAUCAAAUAUACACAAACAUGCUAUUUCCACACUGAUUCAAAUCAGUCACAUAAAUCAUAGACAUAUUUGAAGUUCAUUGCAUUGCAAUUAUGUCAUGUUUUUUCAAUAUAGUGAAUUUAUUUUCUUCUACAAGUAAUGAUAGACAUAUUUGAAGUUGCUCUAUGUUUAUCCUCAAUAAUUUCACAAGGAUACAUUUUUAUUUUUCUAAUUUUUUAUUCUUUUCAUAGGUCCAACAAAUGCAAGCUGCUGUCAACUGUUAAAUCCUGAAGGGUUUCUACUUAUUGAAACAGACCUUGCGGCGAGAUAAUGUUAUUUCUGUCCACUAUUUGAAGGAGUAAGUUUCUUUCCUAAGCAUCUACUAAACCUUUAUUGUUGUACUACCUUCUUAGAGAAUCCCCAUAGUACUAACCUCUGCAUGUUUCCUGAAACUACAACAACAUACCUUGUGCAGUCCUAUGAGUAGAAUGUAGUGAUGGUAGAGUAUACGCAGACCUUAUCCCUACCUUGGGAGGUAGAGAGUGCCCAUAGUAGAUCCAAAACUUAUAGUCUACAACAAAAUUAAAAUAAAUUUUUCUUGUAACUUUCAAGAUAUAAAUCAUCCUGAAAAUCAGAAAAGAAGAAAUAUAAUGAGGAAAAGCCUGUUUUCUUCCAUGCAGAAUGUUACACUUUUUGCUGGGUAGCUAAAGGUAAUAUAAACUAAGAGUGUAACAACUUCAAAUCAGAAAAUCAGGAUAAAAAGUGCAUGAGAUGUAACAUUAAAGUCAUUGCAUUCAGUAGGAGCAGAAGUUAAUGAAGUUUCAACUUGCAGGUCAUAAAAGAAUUCAGUGGUAAAUUCCUUAUGUUGGAAUGUCUUGAAAGAUGAUUGAAUGAAGGAAGGAAUACCAAUAUAUUUGCAGCAAAUCAUUUUAUAUUUAGAUCAAAGAUCAGUACGAAAUAGUAAAAGGUUUCUUAAUCACAAACAAACUGUCUGUGAGCCCAAAAGUUGAAGAGGAAAUACUAACAUGGAUACAUUUAUAUAUUAGGAGGUCCGAGAGAGACAGCAAGAAAUGACCACAACUUACACCAAUGGUUAUCUUUUAUAGAUAAAAAAAAUCACCAAGUUACAGAGGUAGAGCAUGUUAUCCCGCCCUUCAGUACAAGGACGAAAAAAAGAAAAAAAAAACUUCACAAGAAAAGUGAAUCAAAGAUAAUGCAAGCAUUUUCAAUCCCUGAAAGAGAUGUACCAGUAAAAGAGAAACUUAGAUGAGGCAAAGAAAGGGUCUUCUCAUCAUAUUUCAGUGAAGAAGCAAAUGUAAUUAAAUUAUGCAACUACUUAUGGUAAAUCUAAGAAGGAGACAUGAUUUGACGAUUCCAAAAUCUCCAAUAAGCAAAAGCUUGAAAAGAUAGUCGCUGCACAGAAAAAUACAACAACACAACAUCAGAUAAGCUACAUAAAUUCAAAAUAUAUCCAGAUAAAUAUAAUACUAUAUAUAACUAUGCAGACAUACCAUGAAUUCCUAAUAUUAUUAAUGUCCAGAAUUAAUAUGCCCUUACAGAAUCAUAUGUUUUCAGAUGCAUAAAUCUAAUAUCACUAUUUCCAUGGAAAGAACUUCUCUAUUUCUCCUACCAUGAAAUGAAUAAGGAAAAUCCUCAAUCCAAACUUUGAUAAAUACUACCAUUGAGACCUGACAUUAGUCAACAUAACCACACAUGAAGAUUGCCACUAUAGUUUAAGAGUAAUAGUUACGCCAGAUAAAAUCUCCUAAUAAUCAGAGAACUUAUGAUGAUGUGAAGAGCAAGCUUCUCCGAUAAAAACAUAACUAAAAGAAGUUAAUUGAACUGCACAAAUAAUUUUCUACUUUCUGCUGUUUGAGAUUCAAAGUGACCAACUUUUUUCAGUGAAUUGAGAGAGGAACAACUUUGUGAAUCCAGUCUUCUAUGAUAAUAUCUAGUUUUCCUUUGUGAAACCUACUGUUUCAUUGACUACAUAAGCUGCUAAUCCUGUGUACUAAACACUAUUUAGCUAAAUGUAAUCCUUUUUUUUUCCUUUACCAACCUUCAAUCAAUCUAAAAAUCGAAAUAAGCCCUUCAAAACUAAGAUUGGAAAGUAUGAGCAGUUUUUUGAGAUUUAUCAGAUCCUUAGCCGAGGAAAGAUGAGCUAUGUUUCAGUUUAUACGAGGGAUAAUGCUUAUAUCUGGCAAUGUUGAUGAGUAUCAAGAAAGGUUUGAUGAAGUUAAUCUUAUAAACUAAUGAUAAACCCUGUACUGAAUGAUAUUCACUUCAUUGCUAACUACAUAAGUGACCAGAAAGCAGAAACCAAGACUUUAGUUAGCUUAACCAAAUGCACAACCCUUAUGGAUGUGGUUGAGGAAAAGAAGUGAAUCUGUUAGUAAUAUUAAUGGUGUAAACUGAGAAGAGCUAUAGAAAUAAACUUUUUAAUUUACACUUACCAGUAUCUUUGGUUUCUAAAAUCACAGAUUUUUACUUGGUGAGUAAGAGUUCCACCUAUGAAAUAAGAGUUCCACCUGUUAAAACAAACAAUGAAAUAAGGAAAAAAUAUCAUAAUUUACUACAUGAAUUUAGUAGCUUGAAAGAUAUUUUACCAAAACAUUCUGAGUUUUCCAAAUGCCUGAUGUAAGCCAGUCCUCCAAAUAUCUGAAUAUGUGUUUGAAAAAAAGAUAGUUUAGUAAUUUGUAUUCUUUCAAUAUGGAAUAGCAAUGAAUUAAAAAAGGGAAUAUGUUAGAAUGUAUAUUAAGGAGAUGACUGAUCUAUUGAGCCAUUUGGUAGAUGAAAGAGGCAAUAAGCUGGUAGUUUUUUUUUCUCCAAAAGUCUUCAUAGUAGUAUAAAUAAGGAAGAACAAUAUUUCACAAAAAUUACAAACCUCUUUGUUCCACAAAAUCCAAAAGUAACUGCAAAAAGAAAGUAGACCAACCUACAAAUAUAUUUAACAAGAAUGAAACAGGGUGUAAUAUAGGUAGUGAUAAAAUAUUAUAGUAAUUAUAUUGAAGAUAUUAUAAAUUUUGAGAGAGAGAAUAAGAAAAUAGUUUUUACGUAACAUUUAUUUUGCUUUCAUUGGAGUUGAUGGCUCCAUUUUCUGUUUUAUCUUGAGCAUGUUUUGGCGUUCACUUUGUUGUUCGGCUUGUUCAGCAGAAGAAGUGGAAUCUUUUUUUAUUUCUUGCUUCCUUCUUUGAUAUGAAAUGUGAAUGGUGCAGGAAGAGAGGGCAUGAUGUUUUCUUUUUUAGUACAGGCUAAAAUGUAGACUUUUCCAGAGAUUGUAUGGUCAGUACGGGAAGCUACUUUUUUCACUUGAAUUCUGAACAGAUUCUAAUUCCGGCUGAUUUCAGCAUGUUGCAUUGAUUGAGACUUAUUCUGUGGAAAAAAUAUCUAGUUUUUAUGUUUGUUGAAUAAUUAUGUUGAUGUGCAUAUUUGAUGGUUAAAUUUUUUACCUUAGUUGAAGCAAGCUCGUAAAUCUGUUAUGCUGUAAGAGACAAUAAUUUUUGUCACUCUUUUCCACUAAUAGUUUCAAUUAUUGAGCCAGUGUUAUUUUUAGAUUUACAUCGAAUCUGCAGCUGAAGUUGUAUACAUUAGUACUUUAAUUAAUAAAGAGAAAUAUGUUAUUGAUAUUGUGGGUGUAUGUGUGUAUAGUAUUAGUACCCAAGUACCUGGAACUCGACAUUUUUCUCAUGACAUUUCAUACAAUGAAAUUUUCUCUACUCUAUAUUUCGUACUUCCUGGGGACACUUUGGGCAGCCUAAGACAUAGCAAUAUUUGAGGCAGUUUGGUAGAGUUAUUUGCGCCUCUAUUGUCAAAGCACGACCCAGUGGAGAAAGUGUUAUUGAUCAUGAGAAAGAUAAAUUUUACCAUAAGUCAUGAAUUAGGUGAAUAUAGAUGGUACGAACAUCUUGUUGUGAUUGAAUGGCAGCAAUUGACACUAUCUCAUCAUCUAGCAGAGACCAAAGAUCCAGAUUGAGAUGUGCUUCUCGUAGCAAAAGAGUUAAGUAUUUUAGCAUUUUCUGCAACCCUAUUUUAGUUGGUGUUUGAUGGAUUUUAGCAUAUCAAUAAUAAUGUACAAAUUAGUACAAAUUAGGGUAAAGUAUGUUGAUAUUAUGAGUACGGUUGAAGGCAUUCUAAAUAUGGUGGAUAAUUUGUAUCGUUGUGUUAAAUUUUGUGGUCAACGAUAUGCCUACAACAAUUAUAACAAAAACAAUGAUGUUAUAGGAGAAAGCAAAAGGUGAUAUAAGUAAAUUAAUUAUUGCAUGUUCGUUAUUUUACCAUUGUACUUGGAUACUCCAACAAGCCUGAUACAGAUGAUGGAUGUUGUUGAAACUGUGGGAGCAACUUCUUGCCUUCUUUUUCAAUGAGAGGUUGUUUGUUGAGUAUAUUGCAGUAAUUAAUAUAUUGUAUAAUUCUUUUUUUGUAAAUUAAGAAAAAUGGUGGUAAGUUUGGCAAAUAUGCUUACUCGGUAUCAAUAACAAGGAGUUCCAAUAAUCUUUUUUGAAUGUUGGUAACAUAUUUUGGAGCAAAACAGCUAACAACUAUUACUAACACAUCUGUUGGGAAAAAGCUAUAUGUUAGUUUGUGUUGAAGUAGAUAUUUAAUGAUAGAAAGAAUAAAAUGAGCAUACUGUAUUCUGCUUUCUGAAGUUAUUCUUUUAAAGCUCGAGAGGCUUGGUUGUUGAUAUCUUGAAAUGAUGUGGCAUUGACCAUUCGAGAUGGUGGUAGCUCUGUUUCAUCUGAGUCAUUUUUAUCAAUUGAAUUCACUAUGGUCUUUCUAUCAAUAAUCCAGUCGAAUGUAUGCAAUGGUGUUUCAUAUCUCUAAGUUGGUUGUUGUAUGCGUGCACCCGUUAUCAAAUAUGUGUGAAACAACUGAAACAUAUCUUGAUAAAAGGGGAUUUUAUCACUGUAAAUACUUGCUUUUACCUGAUUUUUCUGAAGGUAAUUUUUUCAAUAGUAGUAAUAUAAGAGGUAGAAGUAAGGAAUAUAAAUACUUGACUUGAUUUUAAAAAUAAGAAGUUACCUGUUCAUCUUGAAAGAUCAUGUUCAAAUACUUUAUCUUUUAUUUUAUACCUUCUCUUGAUCUACCCAUGUCUACAACUUGGACCUUGCAUAUCCAGUUAGGUUUUUGAGGGGUGAUUGCAUGUAUAUUUAGUCUUUCUGUCAUCUUUUUUAUAGCAUGCAAAAUAGCAAAAGUAGAUACUUUAUUUGGAUAUCUCUAAAGGAAGGGAAAACCAAGCAUUACAUUUGAAACAUAGUGUAGAGUAAGAAAAGUCUACUAUUAUUAAAUAUUGAAGUAAAAGAGAGACAAAGGUAAGCUUCUAUUAUUAGAAGGCUUCUCCAUUAACAUAGUUAAUUUAUGUAACCAAUAUGAUAAUUAUAUACUGAUAACUUAAUAUAUACUUACAGUCCAAAAGACUUGUUUCUAAAUUUUUAGUAAACGUUGCAUUUAUGGUCUUUAUCUGUUGGUGACAUAAUAAAUUCUAUAUGAUAUGAAAUAAAGCCAUCCCAAUUGAUUAAGUUACAAAUUUUAAGCUAAUUUAAUUGAUGAGCUAAACAAAUAAUCUAAUUAGAAUUUCAGUAACUUGUACUCACGCAAAGUAAAAGUUUUAGUGAAUCUAAAUAGUUAUGAAAUAAUGCAAAAUCUUACAAGUUUUUUUAUCCUUCAACAUUGCAGAACAAAUAGUUAGAAACGGCAUGUUUAUAGCAGAAACAACAAGAUUUCAACACCAAGGAUAUUUCGGUAAUUUUAUGGUGCAAUAAAAUGGUUACACAGCCAUAUUGCUUUUUCCUUAUAUUUAUUAGUUUUGUCCUCAUUUUUAUGGUGCAAUAAAAUGGUUAGACAUGCAUAUUAUUUUUUUAUAUUUAUAAGUUUUAUCCUCAUGUAUUAUUUUAAUAAUAUUUUGAUUUAGACCUUUGUAAUUGAAUCAUACAUGGUAAUAAUUUUUUAUAAAUAGAUUUUUGUUCCUUAUUAAAUUACUUAUUUUUUUACAUCCCAAGGAUAUUUCGGUAAUUUUAUGGUACGAUAAAAUGGUUACACAUGCAUAUUGCUUUUUUCUUAUAUUUAUUAGUUUUGUAGUUAUUUUAUGGUGCAAUAAAAUGGUUACACAUGCAUAUUAAUUUUUUUUAUAUUUAUUAAUUUUAUCCUCAUGUAUUAUUUUAAUAAUAUUUUUAUUUAGACCUUUGUAAUUGAAUUAUACAUGGUAGUAAUUUUUUAUAAAUAUUUUUUCGUUCCUUAUUAAAUGACUAUCAAAGGUAUUUCGGUAAUUUUAUGGUGCAAUAGAUAUUUGGGAAUCGAUGUUUGUCUAUAUGCAUGUGUAACCAUUUUAUUUACUACUAUAUAUAAGUGAAGGUUGGGGUGACUAAAAUUACCGAAAUAUCUCUGAUAGUAGUAAUAAAGUAAUAGUAAUAAUAGUAAUAAUAAUAAUAAUAGUAGUAGUAGUAGUAAUAGUAAUACUAAAAAAAAUGAAUAAUAAUAAUAAUAAUAAUAGUAGUAGUAGUAGUAGUAGUAGUAGUAGUAGUAGUAACAAGAUAAGAUAAGGAGUAUAAAAUAGAAAUAGAAAAUAAAAGAAAAUUAUUAUAUUAUACUAUAAUAGCUCCUCUGUUAAUGGUAUCAGAGCCUAAAAACUUUCAUAGUAAUUAUGUUAAGUGCGGUGAAGUUUUCAGCUAGAUAUAAGGCUUUUAUUAUCAUGGAUAUGGACGAAGUUAGUACUAAAAGUACAAAACUCGAAGAGGUAGAUUUACCUUAAGAUAUGGAUUUAUUAAAUAAAUGGACGAUUCCAAAAGUUGAAUUAAAAACCAUAUAUGAAUAUGAAUUUUUUGAUAAAAUAAAACAUAAACAGAUUAUUAAAACCACUGAGCAAUCUCUUGCUUUAAAUGCUGAUGAGCAGACUAUUCAACUCCUUAAUCAACAUGAUAUUGAUAUUUUUAAACGCCAUUAUAAUUACAUGCAUAUUGGUCUGGUUCGAAUUGCUUUUAAACCUUUAACGCUAAAAGGAAUCCCUGAAACAUUUUGAGCUUCUUUACGUGAUGCUAGAAAUUUAAACUCUAGAAAAUCUUUAAUGGGAUCUAUUGAAUCUACCCUUGACUAUGGUCCUGUAUAUUUUAAUACUCAGCUAUAUUUGCAAUUAUCUUUGACUGAUGUAAAUAUUCUUCAUGCUUUAACCUUAAAUGUGAAAACUCAUGGUUAUGAUUAUGCGCCUGGAUCUGAACUUUUAGGAUUAUCUUACCGCAUAUAUUAUCGCUUACUAUCAACCUUAAAUCCUCGAUGUAAAUUGAUUAUGAUACUUCUGAUUGGACUAUGCUUAUUGAAACUAACUUUAUAAAAUGCAGGGUUACUACUCGAAGACCUAUUCGAUGGGAUGAAAUUGAUUUUUCAAAAACAUGGAUUUUAAAUUCAGUCACUUCUCCAAAGCAGUUGGCGGAGGAUGUGACUAAUUCAGAGUUAUCUCAUGUAACUCAAAAUUCUGAUGGACGAAUUGGUCUGCAAUUUGAUAAUAAUCCUCCAGUUUAUAGAAAUUCUUUUUCUUUACCAAAAAGACUUCCUUCUAUACAUCAUAUUUCUCCUAUCGAACCGGAUUAUGGUCCAUCUAGGAAUCGUGUUGCAUCUUUGCAUACUAUUAAUUCGGCAGAUUUUCAUGUUACACCUAAAGGUGUAGAACGGAUUAAAAUCAACUCUAAAACUAAUAUAGUUCAAGAUUUUGAUAAUAAAAAUCCUACCCUAUCUGAGAUGGAUUUUGAUAGUAAUUCUAUUUAUUUAUGAUGACACAACUUAUUGAUUUUAGUCCUGGUUAUUAGGCAAGAAAAUAUAUUCAAAAAGAAUUUUUCUGUAAAAAAUGAAAAACCUUUAGGACAUGUAUUUUUUAAACCUGUACUAAUGAAUUACAAAAUAUCUCUGAAGAAUUCUACGAAGUAUAUGCCCUACAUAACAAAAUUAUCUUUUUUGUGCCAUGGUUUAUGUCUGCAUAUUUGCUGUCCUAUAUAAAAAUUAUUGAAAGAUUUUGUCAAAACUUUGAUGGUACAAUUACUCAAGCAAUGUAUCCUACUCAAUCUUCCUUUAUAUUACCUAAUAAUACUGGAAUGACUUUUUCUACUUUUCAAAAGUUUGUUGAUAAGGAUGUUGGAAAAAUAACUGUUUCUGAAAUAAAUAACCUUAUCGCGCAAAAUAAUUAUUUGAGUCUUUAUGUUAAAGUUUUGAGAGAAAAUAUUUCUUCUCUUGAUAAAAAACUUGACAAAUUAAUUGAGUUAGUUAAAAAACUUAGUGAGCGAAUGGAUUCCUCUAACAUUCCUUUUACUUUCGAAACCAAAGAAGAAGAAGGAUAUAUCUUAUCGCAACCUUGUAUUCAAAGACUGCCUGAAAUUGAAGGAUUUGAAAGAAUUUCUCAAUUUGAUCAAUUAGAAAAACUUUUAGAUAAAAAAUUCUCUCGUUUAAACAUACAACCUAUUUAUGUAUCUGAUGAUUUUUUUCAAAAACUCGAGUCUAAUUUUGCUGAUAAUAUAGAAUCUACUCCAAACGUAGGAGAUACUAUCUCUUCCGAGGUAAAUAAGCUCAAAGGUAUGAUUAGAAAGAAACCGAGAAAAAAUAUACUGACAUUCCCCGUAUGUCUACUACGUAUUAUCCACGUCCAACUCCUUAAGAUGUUCUGAUAGAGGAAAGGAUUUAGAAUCAAACAAAUACUUCUUAUAGUGGAGAAGCUAUUUAUGAAUGGAAUAUUGAUCGAUUAUCAGAUCGACAAAUCUCUAUUCUUAUCCACUGUAUGUCUAAGUACUCUACUAUUACCACAGCCACUGCAUCAGCAGAGAAUCGGGCCAAUCAUACUAACCUAAAAAUUUGCAAAAUAAUUGUUGCGAGCUUUACUGGCCAGCUUCGAGGUUGGUGGGAUAAUUUCCUAGACGAUGAUAAACGCGAGGCUAUUUUUAAUGCCACUAAUGAUAAACCAGGAAAAGACAAUUUAGGCCAACCGCUUCGGGCAGGACGAUCAGAUGCUGUCUAUACCCUGAUGCUUACAAUUAUUGAACAUUUUGGAGGUAGAUUUACCAAUCAGUAUGAAAAUAUUAGAACUCAUCUUAAUGGUUUAAAAUGCAAACAUUUAGGAGAAUUUAGAUGGUAUAAAGAUACCUUUCUUAGUAGGGUUAUGGAUUUACUCGAAAGUAAGUAUGACCAUUGGAAAGCAAAAUUCAUUGAUGAUCUUCCCCUUUUAUUUGCUGAAAGAGUUAGAAAAACACUUAGAGGAUCUUAUGGCGAGGUCCAGUAUUCAGAAAAAACUUAUGGUCAACUUAUUGUAGCUUGUACUCAAGAGAGUUUAGCCCUUCGCAAUGAGCUAAAAUUAGCCAGACAGAUUAAGCUUGACAAACUCAGAGAAAAAUUCCAAUUAGGAGAUUUUUGUGAACAAUUUGGUAUGGAUAAACUAGUAGCAAGAAAAAACCAAAGAUAUUCUAAGCCUGAUAAAUCCUAUAGAAAGAAACAUUCUAGGCAUAGAACCAAAGAAGAAUGUGAAACAAGAAAAUCCUAUCGUAAGUCUACCAGAUUUACGAAAAAUAGAUCCAAAAGAGAGUUAGCAAAAUUCAAGUGCUAUAUGUGCAACCAACAUGGUCAUAUAGCUCCAAAGUGUAAGUUACAAAAAAUCAAGUCCUUAGGACUUUCUGAGAAUUAUUAUAUACUUCUGGUUCUGAAUCUGAUUAUGAUUCACCAUCUGAAAAUGAUUUUGAACUACCUAAUUCUGGUAGUGAAGUCGAUCAGGUUAAUAAAUGCAAUGAUUGUGAUAAUGAUACUUGUAAUUGUGGCAAAAUGAUGUAUAAACUUCAAGCCCAAUUUGAAGAUCUUAAUUUAAAUAUUCAAACUCUUACUGCUGAUAAUGUCCUUGAAUUACUGAAAGAAGUUACAGAUGAAAAACUAAGUGAAAAAAUCAUUAAUUUUGCUACUCAAAACACUUCUUCUAAUACUGCUAGUAUAUCUAAAGAUAAUUCUUCUGAUAAUUAUCAUUUGUCUUAUUCUUUUUUUGAGGUUAAUCGACGUCUUGUGUUGAGUCAAACUCCAGGUAGAGAUACUACCUUUGAUGAUUUAAAAAUAGAAGUUGAAAAAUUAAAGAAGGAGAUUAGUUCUUUAAAACAAAAGCAGAUGAUCUCAGAUCAUAGGAUUUUAAAAAUUGAAGAAAAAAUUUCUGACAUUCCUGAAAAUACUAUUUCUUUUACUUCAAAAGGAAAAGAAAAGGAAUUUGAAAACUCUAAAGAUUAUGAAUAGAUAAACUUAGUCUAAAAGAUGAUUUGAAAAGAGAUUAUUUCUUAGGUAUGAUGCAACUAGUUACUGCUCAUAAAUAGUAUAUAAAUUGCACUAUUCUGAUUAAUAGGGAUUUUUCUAUCACUAAUAUUGCUAUGAUUGAUAGUGGUGCUGAUGUCAGGUGCAUUCAAGAAGGUUUAAUUCCAACCAGAUAUUUUGAAAAAACUACUCACAUAAUUAAGUCUGUAUCUGGUUAUAGUCUUGACAUCAACUAUAAAUUACCGUAUACUCAUAUAUAUCGAAAUAAAGUCUACAUUCCACAUUUCUUCUUUUUGGUAAAAAUUCAGUUAUAUCCUCCUAUUAUUUUAGGAACACCUUUUAUAAAUGCUAUUUAUCCUUAUUCACAUAUCGAUGCGAAUGGUUUUAAGGCUACCUAUAAAAAUAAACAAAUCUCUUAUCCUUUUGCUACUAAUCUUGUAACAAGAGAUAUAAAUACUCUUAUUGGUAUGAAGCAAAGGCAGGCCAAUUUCUUACAAUUAGAGCUGAUGAGUAUUAAUAUUCUUGAUACAUUAAAUUCUGUAAAGAUCCAAGAAAAAAAAAUAAUUUCUAAUCAAUUGAUUGUUGAUAUUUGUGCUGAUCACCCAAAUGCUUUCUGGAACCGAAAGAAGCAUAUUGUUUCUCUUCCUUAUGAAGAUGAUUUCAGAGAAGAAAAAAUUCCCACAAAAUCUCGGCCUUGUCAAAUGAAUACAGAGUUAGUAAAAUUCUGUAAAAAAGAAGUUGACAGUCUAUUGCAAAAGGGUCUUAUAAAACCUUCGAAGUCCCCUUGGUCUUGUACUGCUUUUUAUGUCAAUAAUGCUGCUGAAAAGGAAUGGGGUAUGCCUCGACUAGUCAUCAAUUAUAAACCUCUGAAUAAAGUUUUAAAUUGGAUUAGGUAUCCUAUACCGAAUAAAAAAGACUUAUUUUCUAGAUUAUAUGAUGCUAACAUAUUUUCUAAAUUUGAUAUAAAAUCUAGUUAUUGGCAAAUUCAAAUUGAUAAAGAACAUACUUAUAGAACUGCUUUUAAUGUCCCCUUUGGAUAGUAUGAAUGGAAUGUUAUGCCAUUCGGCUUAGAAAAUGCUCCUUCUGAAUUUUAAAAAAUUAUGAAUGAUAUUUUCAAUCCCUAUAUGGAUUUUAUCAUUAUCUAUAUUGAUGAUAUUUUAGUAUUUUUGAAAAACCUUGAAUCACAUUUUAAACAUUUGAAUAUGUUUAAACAAAUUGUUAUACAAAAUGGUUUGGUCAUCUCUAAAUCAAAAAUAAGUUUAUUCCUGACAAAUAUUAGAUUUUUAGGACACAACAUUUGUCAAGGUACUAUUGAGCUAUACAAAGAGCUUUAGAAUUUGCUAAAAAAUUUCCUGAUAUUAUUACUGAUAAAAAAAAGCUGCAAAGAUUCCUUGGUAGUCUUUUUAAUUAUAUUUCUCUUUUUUAUAAAAAUCUGUCUAGAGAUUUAACUCCUUUGUAUGAUAGACUGAAAAAGGAUUACAAAAUGCCUUGGACUCAAGUCCAUACUGAUUUGGUAAAAUUAAUUAAAAAAUGAGUUCAAUCUCUUCCUUGUACAUCUCUUGUAAAUCCUAACUGGUUAAAGAUUGUUGAAACUGAUGCUUCGAAUAUGGGGUAUGGCGGACUAGUUAAACAAGUUAAUCCCCAUAAAAAAACAGAAUAUUUGAUUAAAUUUUAUUCUGGUAAAUGAACCGAAAGCCAGAAAAAAUACGCUACAGUAGCCCAUGAAAUGCUAAAUAUUGUAAAAUGUGUUUUAAAAUUUCAAGAUGAUUUGUAUGAUAAAAAAUGCAUAGUCAGAACUGAUGCUCAAUCGGUUAAAUAUAUGUUUAACAAAGAAUUUAAACAUGAUGCCUCUAAAUUAAUAUUUUCAAGAUGGCAAGCUCAAUUAGCCCCUUUUGAUUUUACAAUACAAUAUAAGAAGGGUAGUGAAAAUUCUUUGCCAAAUUUUUUAUCUCGAGAAUAUUUAAUCGAUUAACAUGAAUUUUUAUACGUACUUCCUCUUUGAGAAAACUAUAAUUACUAUUAUCAAAUGCAUUCCUUUAAACGAAGAUAUUCAUUUUCUUAUCUUAGAAAAUUUGGUUCGUGGUAUAAUAGAAGAAGAAUUAUUCCUUAACCCAUGACGAGUUUCUUGAUAAUGAUAUUUAUUGGUUUGAUGUUGACUUAAGUGAUUAAUAUUUACAGGAUUAAAAGAAAUAAUGAAGCUCUUUCUGCACUUCUUCUCUAAAAAAUUCUUAAUCACUUUUAUAAAGGAAACUCCUUUAAUUGCGGACAUGCACAUGCUUAUAUUACGGAAGGUCAUUAAUGAUCUUAUCACAAAGGACACACUUUAUGAAGAUCUAUUCGAAUAUAUGUUAUGGUAUGCUAAUUAAAAUCCUGAUUAUUGAUGUAGCAUGGAUCCACCCUGGCAAAUAGCCAGAGGACGUGACAGAGGUGGACGAAGUCAAAACUCUUCAUAUUACGGAGGACGAACAAACCCUACUUAUUUUGGUAAUAGAAAUAAUUCAGUAUAUAGCUCUGCAAGUUCUAAUUUUCUGGUAUUACAACACGGAAAUAGAACUUUGGUCAAUUCAAAAAUUCUCUAGGAAGGAUCAUCAUCAAAAACUCAGAAUAUUGGUUCCUCAAUUCAUCUGGAAGAUAUUCUAGAAGAUCAUCCUUUGUACAAACAACUUCAAUCUUAUAUAUCCGAUCAGGAAAAAACUGCAGAUUCAUUUGCAUCUCUAGUCCAUGAAAACUCUGAAAAUAAACCCACAUAUGAGAAAUUGGAUGCUAGAGAACUCAUCCUACUUAUUGAAAAUCCGCAUAUUCCUCGACAAGAAAAUUAUGAAGAAGCAUGGCGAUUACUCCAAAAAUACUUAACUACUAAUGUUUAUUUCAUAGGAGAAUCAUAUAAAACACGAACUUUUUAUGAAAACAUUUUGGUUCUGACAUUCAGUGCAGAUUUUAAGCACAGUCCGAUGGGAGACACUACCCUAGGUGUACAUGGAUACUCCAAGAUAAUUGUUAAUUGUAUUAGAGCCUAGUAACUUUCAUAGUAAUUAUUUUAAGUGCGGUGAAGUUUUCAGCAUAGAUAUAAGGCUUUUAUUAUCAUGGAUAUGGGAGAAGUUAUUACUAAAAGUACAAAACUCGAAGAGGUAGAUUUACCUCAAGAUAUGGAUUUAUUAAAUACAUGGACGAUUCCAAAAGUUGAAUAAAAAACCAUAUAUGAAUAUAGAUUUUUUGAUAAAAUAAAAUAUAAACAAAUUAUUAAAACCACCGAGUAAUCUCUUGCUUUAAAUGCUGAUGAACAGACUAUUCAACUCCUCAAUCAACAUGAUAUUGAUAUUUUUAGACGCCAUUAUAAUUACAUGCAUAUUGGUCUGGUUCAAAUUGCUUUCAGACCUUUAAUGCUAAAAGGACUCCUUAAAACAUUUUUAGCUACUUUACGUGAUGCUAAAAUUUAAACUUUAGAAAAUCUUUAAUGGGAUCUAUUGAAUCUACCCUUGCCCAUGGUCCUGUAUAUUUUAAUACUCAGCUAAAUUUGUAAUUAUCUUUGACUGAUGUAAAUAUUCUUCAUGCUUUAACCUUAAAUGUGAAAACUCAUGGUUAUGAUUAUGCGCCUAGAUCUGAACUUAUAGGAUUAUCUUACCGCAUAUAUUAUCGCUUAUUAUCAACCUUAAAUCCUCGAUGUAAAUUGAUUGAUGAUACUUCUAAUUGCACUAUGCUUAUUGAAACUAACUUUAUAAAAUCCAGGGUUACUACCCGAAGGCCUAUUCGAUGGGAUGAGAUUGAUUUCCCAAAAAUAUGGAUUUUAAAUUCAGUCACUUCUCCAAAGCAGUUGGCAGAGAAUGUGACUAAUUUAGAGUUAACUCUUGUAACUCAAAAUUCUGAUGGACGAAUUUGUCUACAAUUUGAUAAUAAUCCUCCAGUUUAUAGAAAUUCUUUUUCUUUGCCAAAAAGACUUCCUUCUAUACAUCAUAUUUCUCCUAUCGAACUGGAUUAUGGUCCAGCUAGGAAUCGUGUUGCAUCUUUUCAUACUAUUAAUACUGCAGAUUUGCAUGUUACACCUAAAGGUGAAGAACGGAUUAAAAUCAACUCUAAAACUAAUAUAGUUCAAGAUUUUGAUAAUGAAAAUCCUACCCCAUUUGAGAUGGAUUUUGAUAUUAAUUCUGUUAAAUUAUGAUGACACAACUUAUUGAUUUUAGUCCUGGUUCUUAGGCAAGGAAAUAUAUUCAAAAGGAAUUUUUCUGUAAAUAAUGAAAAACCUUUAGGACAUGGUUUUUUGAAGCCUAUACUCCUAAUGAAUUACAAAAUAUCUCUGAAGAAUUCUACGAAAUAUGUGCCCUAUAUAAUAAAAUUAUCUUUUUUGUGCCAUGGUUUAUGUCUGCAUAUUUGCCGUCCUAUAUAAAAAUUAUUGAAAGAUCAUAUCAAAACUCUGAUGGUACAAUUACUCAAGCAAUGUAUCCUACUCAAUCUUCCUUUAUAUUACCUAAUAAUACUGGAAUGACUUUUUCUACUUUUCAAAAGUUUGUUGAUAAGGAUGUUGGAAAAAUAACUGUUUCUGAAAUAAAUAACCUUAUCGCGCAAAAUAAUUAUUUGAGUCUUUAUGUUAAAGUUUUGGGAGAAAAUAUUUCUUCUCUUGAUAAAAAACUUGACAAAUUAAUUGAGUUAGUUAAAAAACUUAGUGAGCGAAUGGAUUCCUCUAACAUUCCUUCUACUUUCGAAACCAAAGAAGAAGAAGGAUAUAUCUUAUCGCAACCUUGUAUUCAAAGACCGCCUGAAAUUGAAGGAUUUGCAAAAAUUUCUCAAUUUGAUCAAUUAGAAAAACUUUUAGAUAAAAAAUUCUCUCGUUUAAACAUAUAACCUAAUAAUGUAUUUGAUGAUUUUGUGCAAAAACUCGAGUCUAAUUUUGCUGAUAAUAUAGAAUCUACUCCAAACGUAGGAGAUACUAUCUCUUUCGAGCUGAAUAAGCUCAAAGGUAUGAUUAGAAAGCAACCGGGGAAAAAUAUGCUGACAUUCCCCGUAUUUCUACUGUGUAUUAUCCUGGUCCAACUCCUCAAGAUUUUUUGAUAGAGGAAAGGGAUUGGAAUCAAAACAAAUACUUCUUAUAGUGGAGAAGCUAUUUAUGAAUGGAAUAUUCAUGGAUUAUCAGAUCGAAAAAUCUCUAUUCUUAUCCACCGUAUGUCUAUGUACGCUACUAUCGCUACAGCCACUGCAUCAGCAGAGAAUCGAGCCUAUCGUACUGACCCAACAAUUUGCAAAAUAAUUGUUGCGGGUUUUACUGACCAGCUUUAAGGCCGGUGGAAUAAUUUCCUAGACGAUAAUAAACACGAGACUAUUUUUAAUGCCACUAAUGAUAAACUAGAAAAAGACAAUUUAGGUCGACCACUUUGGGUAGGACGACCAGAUGUUGUCUAUACCCUUAUGCUUACAAUUAUUGAAUAUUUUGGAGGUAGAUUUACCAAUCAGUAUGAAAACAUUAGAACUUUUCUUAAUGGUUUAAAAUGCAAACGUUUAGGAGAAUUUAGAUGGUAUAAAGAUACCUUUCUUAGUAGGGUUAUGGAUUUAUCCAAAAUUAAGUAUGACCAUUGGAAAGCAAAAUUCAUUGAUGGUCUUCCCCCAUUAUUUGCUGAAAGAGUUAGAAAAACACUUAGAGGAUCUUAUGGCGAGGUCCAGUAUUCAGAAAAAACUUAUGAUCAACUUAUUGUAUCUUGUACUCAAGAGGGUUUAGGCCUUUGCAACGAGCUAAAAUUAGCCAGACAGAUUAAGCUUGACAAACUCAGAGAAAAAUUCCAAUUAGGAGAUUUUUGUGAACAAUUUGGUAUGGAUAAACUAGUAGCAAGAAAAACCCAAAGAUAUUCUAAGCCUGAUAAAUCCUAUAGAAAGAAGCGUUCUAGGUAUAGAACCAAAGAAGAAUGUGAAACAAGAAAAUCCUAUCGUAAGUCUACCAGAUUUACGAAAAAUAGAUCCAAAAGAGAGUUAGCAAAAUUCAAGUGCUAUAGGUGCAACCAAUAUGGUCAUAUAGCUCCAAAGUGUAAGUUACAAAAACUCAAGUCCUUAGGACUUUCUGAGGAAGUGCAUGACCAAGUCUAUGGUUUAUUAUAUACUUCUGGUUCUGAAUCUGAUUAUGAUUCAACAUCUGAAAAUAAUUUUGAACUACCUAAUUCUGAUAGUGAACCCGAUUAGGUUAAUAAAUGCAAUGAUUGUGAUAAUGAUACUUGUAAUUGUGACAAAAUAAUGUAUAAACUUCAAGUGCAAUUUGAAUAUCUUGAUUUAAAUAUUCAAACUCUUACUGCUGAUAAUAUCCUUGAAUUACUGAAAGAGGUUACAGAUGAAAAACUAAGUGAAAAAAAUCAUUAAUUUUGCUACUCAAAACACUUCUUCUUAUACUGCUAGUAUUUCUAAAGAUAAUUCUUCUGAUAAUUAUCAUUUGUCUUGGCCAAUCGUACUGACCCAACAAUUUGCAAAAUGAUUGUUGCGGGCUUUACUGGACAGCUUCGAGGCUGGUGGGAUAAUUUCUAGACGAUGAUAAACGCGAGUCCAUUUUUAAUGCUACUAAUGAUAAACCAGGAAAAGAUAAUUUAGGCCGACCGCUUCAGGCAGGACAACUAGAUGCUGUCUAUACCAGACUAUCAAUUUCUUUUUUACAGAAUUCUGCUAACUCUAUAUUCAUUUGACAGGGUCAAAAUUUUGUAGGAAUUUUUUCUUUACUGAAACCAUCUUCAUAAGGAAGAGAAACAACAUGCUUCUUUCGGUUCCAGAAAGCAUUUGGGUGAUCAUCACAAAUAUCAACAAUCAAUUGAUAAGAAAUUAUUUUUAUUUUUUCUUAGAUCUUUACAAAAUUUAGGGUAUCAAGAAUAUUAAUACUCAUCAGCUCUAAUUGUAAGAAAUUGACCUGCCUUUGCUUCAUCAGCAUAGGAAAUUGAAUAGUCUUUCAUCAGCAUUUAAAGCAAGAGAUUGCUCAGUGAUUUUAAUAAUUUGUUUAUGUUUUAUUUUAUCAAAAAUUCCAUAUUCAUAUAUGGUUUUUAAUUUAACUUUUGGAAUCGUCCAUUUAUUUAAUAAGUCCAUAUCUUGAGGUAAAUCUACCUCUUCGAGUUUUGUACUUUUAGUACUAACUUCGCCCAUAUCCAUGAUAAUAAAAGCCUUAUAUCCAUGCUGAAAACUUCACUGCACUUAGCAUAAUUACUAUGAAAGUUCCUAGGCUCUGAAAUCAUUAACAGGAUCUCACUAGGCUGGGGUAUGCCCCUCAGCCUGCCAGACCAUGUAACAAUAUCAGAUUACGCCAAAGUUGAAAAACCGAACCAAAACACCAACUGAAAUAUAAAAGAAUUUUAAAUAGUUUAAUGACUGUAUGGAAUCUUUUAGGUAAUAUAAAGGAAGAUUGAGGAGGAUACAUUUCUUGAGUAAUUUUACCAUGAGAGUUUUGAUAUGAUCUUUUAAUAAUUUUUAUAUAGGACGACAAAUAUGCAGACAUAAACCAUGACACAAAAAAGAUAAUUUUAUUAUGUAGGGCACAUAUUUCGUUGAGUUCUUCAAAGAUAUUUUGUAAUUCAUUAGGAGUAUAGGUUUCAGAAAACCAUGUCCUAAAGGUUUUUCAUUUUUUACAGAAAAAUUCUUUUUGAAUAUAUUUUCUUGCCUGAGAACCAGGACUAAAAUCAAUAAAUUGUGUCAUCAUAAUUAAACAGAAUUAGUAUCAAAAUCCAUCUCAGAUGGGGUAGGAUUUUCAUUAUCAAAAUCUUGAACUAUAUUAGUUUUAGAGUUGAUUUUAAUCCGUUCUACACCUUUAGGUGUAGCAUGCAAAUCUGCUAAAUUAAUAGUAUGAAACGAUGCAACACGAUUCCUAGCUGGACCAUGAUCCGAUUCGAUAGGAGAAAUAUGAUGUAUAGAAGGAAGUUUUUUGGCAAAGAAAAAAAAUUUCUAUAAACUGGAGGAUUAUUAUCAAAUUGCAGACAAAUUCGUCCAUUAGAAUUUUGAGUUACAUGAGUUAACUCUGAAUUAGUCACAUCCUCCGCCAACUGCUUUGGAGAAGUGACUGAAUUUAAAAUCCAUAUUUUCGGGAAAUCAAUUUCAUCCCAUCGAAUAGGUCUUCGGGUAGUAACCCUGGAUUUUAUAAAGUUAGUUUCAAUAAGCAUAGUGCAAUCAGAAGUAUCAUCAAUUAAUUUAUAUCGAGGAUUUAAGGUUGAUAAUAAGCGAUAAUAUAUGCGGUAAGAUAAUCCUAUAAGUUCAGAUCAGGGUGCAUAAUCAUAACCAGGUGUUUUCAUAUUUAAGGUUAAAGCAUGAAGAAUAUUUACAUCAGUCAGAGAUAAUUGCAAAUUUAGCUGAGUAUUAAAAUAUACAGGACCAUAGGCAAGGGUAGAUUCAAUAGAUCCCAUUAAAGAUUUUCUAAAGUUUAAAUUUCUAGCAUCACGUAAAGCAGCUAAAAAUGUUUCAGGGAGUCCUUUUAGUGUUAAAGGUCUAAAAUCAAUUUGAACCAGACCAAUAUGCAUGGAAUUAUAAUGGCGUUUAAAAAGCAGACCAAUAUAAGCAUUUAUAUCUCUUGUUAUAGGAUUAGUAACAAAAGGAUAAGAGAUUUGUUUAUUUUUAUAGGUAGCCUUAAAACCAUUCGCAUCGAUAUGUUUAUAAGGAUAUAUAGCAUUUAUAAAAGGUGUUCCUAAAAUAAUAUGAGGCUAUAACUGGUUUUUACCAAAAAGAAGAAAUGUGGAAUGCAGACUUUAUUUCGACAUAUAUGAGUAUACGGCAAUUUAUAGUUGAUGUCACGACUAUGACCAGAUGCAGACUUAAUUAUGUGAGUAAUUUUUUUAAAAUAUCUGGUUGGAAUUAAACCUUCUUGAAUGCAGCUGACAUCAGCACCACAAUCAAUCAUAGUAAUAUUAGUGAUAAAAAAUUCCCUAUUAAUUAGAAUAGUGCAAUUUAUAUACCAUUUAUGAGCAGUAACUAGUUGCAUCAUACCUAAGAAAUAAUCUCUUUUCAAAUCAUCUUUGAGACUAAGUUUAUCUAUUUCAGAAUCUUCAGAGUUUUCAAAAUCCUUUUCCUUUCCUUUUGAAGUAAAAGAAAUAGUAUUUUCAGGAAUGUCAAAAUUUUUUUCUUCAAUUUUAAAAAUCCUAUGAUCGAAGAUCAUCUUUUUUCGUUUUAAAGAACUAAUCUCCUUCUUUAAUUUUUCAACUUCUAUUUUUAAAUCAUCAAAGGUAGUAUCUCUAUUUGGAGUUUGACUCAACGCAAGACGUCGAUUAACCUCAGCUAAAGAAUAAGACAAAUGAUAAUUAUCAUAAGAAUUAUCUUUAGAAAUACUAGUAGUAUUAGAAGAAGUGUUUUGAGUAGCAAAAUUAAUGAUUUUUUCACGUAGUUUUUCAUCUGUAACUUCUUUCAGUAAUUCAAGGACAUUAUCAGAAGCAGAGUUUGAAUAUUUAAAUCAAGAUCUUCAAAUUGCGCUUGAAGUUUAUACAUCAGUUUGUCACAAUUACAAAUAUCAUUUCACAAUUAUUGCAUUUAUUAACCUGAUCUGGUUCACUACCAGAAUUAGGUAGUUCAAAAUCAUUUUCAGAUGUUGAAUCAUAAUCAGAUUUAGAACCAGAAGUAUAUAAUAAACCAUAGACUUAGUCAUGCACUGGUAUCCUAUAUCGAAUAAAAAAGACUUACUUUCUAGAUUAUAUGAUGCUAACAUAUUUUCUAAAUUUGAUUUAAAAUCUGGUUAUUGGAAAAUUCAAAUUGAUAAAGAACAUACUUAUAGAACUGCUUUUAAUGUCCCCUUUGGACAGUAUGAAUGGAAUGUUAUGCCAUUCGGUUUAAAAAAUUCUCCUUUUGAAUUUCAAAAAAUUAUGAAUGAUAUUUUCAAUACCUAUAUAGAUUUUAUCAUUGUCUAUAUUGAUGAUAUUUUAGUAUUUUCAAAAACUCUUGAAUCAUAUUUUAAAUAUCUGAAUAUGUUAAACAAAUUGUUAUACAAAAUGGUUUGGUCAUCUCUUAACCAAAUAUAAGUUUAUUCCAGACAAAUAUUGGAUUUUUAGGACACAACAUUUGUCAAGGUACUAUUGAGCCUAUACAAAGAGCUUUAGAAUUUGCUAAAAAAUUCCCUGAUAUUACUACUGAUAAAAAACUACUGCAAAGAUUCCUUGGUAGUCUUAAUUAUAUUUCUCCUUUUUAUAAAAAUCUGUCUAUAGAUUUAACUCCUUUGUAUGAUAGACUGAAAAAGGAUUACGAAAUGCCUUGGACUCAAGUCCACACUGGUUUGGUAAAAUUAAUUAAAAAAUGAGUUCAAUCUCUUUCUUGUACAUCUGGACGUAGACAAUACGUAGUAAACAUACGGGGAAUGUCAGCAUGUUUUUUAUCCAGUUGCUUUCUGAUCAUACCUUUGAGCUUAUUUAGCUCGGAAGAGAUAGUAUCUCCAACGUUUGGAGUAGAUUCUAUAAUAUCAUCAAAACUAGACUCAAGUUUUUGCACAAAAUCAUCAAAUACAUUAAUAGGUUGUAUGUUUAAAUGAGAGAAUUUUUUAUCUAAAAGUUUUUCUAAUUGAUCAAAUUGAGAAUUUUUUUCAAAUCCUUCAAUUUCAGGUGGACUUUAAAUACAAGGUUGCGAUAAAAUAUAUCCUUUUUCUUCUUUGGUUUCAAAAGUAGAAGGAAUGUUAGAGGAAUCUAUUCGCUCACUAUGUUUUUUAACUAACUCAAUUAAUUCGUCAAGUUUUUUAUCAAGAGAAGAAAUAUGUUCUCCUAAAACCGGACGAACAAACCCUACUUAUUUUGGUAAUAGAAAUAAUUCUACAUAUAGCUCUGCAAGUUCUAAUUUUCCGUUAUUACAACAAGGAAAUAGAACUUUGGUCAAUUCAAAAAUUCUCCAGGAAGGAUCAUCAUCAAAAACUCAGAAUAUUGGUUCCUCAAUUUAUCUGGAAGAUAUUCUAGAAGAUCAUCCUUUGUGCAAACAACUUCAAUCUUAUAUAUCCGAUCGGCAAAAAACUGCAGAUUCAUUUGCAUCUAUAGUCCAAGCAAACUCCAAAAAUUAACCCACAUAUAAGAAAUUAGAUGCUAGAGAACUCAUCCUACUUAUUGAAAAUCCGCAUAUUCCUCGACAAGAAAAUUCUGAAGAAGCAUGACGAUUACUUCAAAAAUACUUAACUACUAAUGUUUAUUUCACAGGAGAAUCAUAUAAAACACAAACUUUUUAUAAAAAUAUUUUGGUUCAAACAUUCAGUGCAAAUUUUGAGCACAAUCCGAUGGGAGACACUACCCCAGGUGUACAUGGAUACUCCAAGAUUAUUGUUAAAAGACUAAUUUCUAUUAAAGAAUGGGGAAUUUCAUCUAUGAGUCAAAAAUCUAUGCAUAUGGGACCAAUGGGAUAGUCUCAGAUAAAUUUCAUAUAUUGGGAUUAUAUUAAGGCAUUUUCUCAAGUUUGGAUUAUAUUAAGGCAUUUUCUCAAGUUUUAUAUUAUAAUAAUAUUAAACACAAACAUACAUGGUUUAUAAAAAUCUGUGCCAAGGUUUUCGAUAAGCCCAUUCCUAAUUGAUUUAUGCAAUGGUGGACUUGCCACGGACCUACCGUUAAAAUAUUACCUCCAGAAUAUUCUUCUCUUUAUCAUACAUGGAAAAAAUUCUCACCCUUCUUGACUGAAUUAUACCUUUCUGAACAUAUUUGUAAGAUAGGUACUAUUGAUCAAAUGUAUUUCCUUAUCGAAUUCUCUAUCCCUUGGAUUCAUAGAUGGUCAGUUGAAAUAGGUUAUACUAGCAAAAAAAUUUCUACUUUAUACAGAGUCUUUUACUGCAAUUUCUGGGAUAAAUUAACUCGUGAAGAUCCAAAUACAAAACUCACAUAUGGACAUGAUCAACGAGAAAAUAUCGUCAAGAAAAUUGCUGAAUAUGAACAGACUCCUGAAACAUCAAUUUUAAUUGAAGAUAAAAGUCUCAAUUAUGUUUCGAGAAGAAUAUCAGCUCAUGAUGGAAAUAAAAUGGAGAUGAUAGAACAAUACUUAGCAGAAGUAUGAAAUAAAUUACUCCAAACGGUUGAUCAAAACUCAGAUACAUCGAUGAAAAGUGAUGAAGUAAACACUGAAGAUAUCCAGAGUCCCAACCUCCAGAAGUUAUGGGUGAAACAAAUGAAGUGAUUGAAAAAGUUAAAGCAUUUAUCAGAAAAUGAAAAGGCAAAGACUAGGCGAGACCCAAUAGCUAAAUGAUUAAAAACUUUACUAUGCUAUGCACAGGGACCCACAUGGUACUAUGCAAGAUGCUUUUCUUUUCUAUUUAAAGUUACCUCAUUCAGUUGUAAGAGGAGCAAGUUUUUCUUUUUAAUUUCUAUCUCAAAAGCUCUUCCUUCUCUCUAAAAAUCCUCUCUCUUGUAAAAUAUAUCUCGAAGAUAAAUAAGAAGGCACUAGCCACUGUUUGUUAAUAUCUUUAGGCCUUGAUUCGGGCUAUUAAGGUACAUAUUACUUCCUUAUUUGUGUGCAUUUAAUACAACUCCUUCCUUCGUCUAGCUGUGACUAUGUCUAGCUAAAAAGACUUCUUAUAUCUAUGUUGAAGAUCUGACUUCGUUUACAUGGUAACUAUGAAAUAUCCAGACUCUAUCAAAAUAUGAAAGAAUCUUUCUACAAUUUCUUGACGUUGUUCCAAAAUGGUGGUACGGUCGAGUUUAAUAAACUUAUGUUAGCUUUGUCUCUGUGACUACGUCUAGUAAGUUGUGCCUCUUUAGCCCAUUGUACUGAUACGAAACAGGCGACUUUUGCACAAUUAGAACUUCUAGACACAUGGGUUUAACAUAAGGUUAUUAAAUCUCUGAUAGGCCCCUUGUUUGGGUAAAAUAUUUCAUUCAGUCAUCAAACUAUUUGAAAUUCUUUUAUAUUUCGGUUGGUGCUUUGGUUCUGUUUUCCGACUUUAGCGUAAUCCGAUAUUGUUACAUGGUCUGGCAGGCUGAGCGGCAUACCCCAGCCUAGUGAGAUCCUGUUAAUGGUAUAUAUUAUAUUAUAUUAUAUUAUAUUAUGCUAAGUGCGGUGAAGUUUUUAGCAUAGAUAUAAGGUUUUUUAUCAUGGAUAUGGGCGAAGUUAGUACUAAAAGUACAAAACUCGAAAAGGUAGAUUUACCUCAAGAUAUGGAUUUACCAAAUAAAUGGACAUUCCCUAAAGUAGAAUUAAAAACUAUUUAUGAAUAUGAAUUUUUUGAUAAAAUAAAGCACAAACAAAUUAUUAAAAUCAUUGAGCAAUCUCUUGCUUUAAACACUGCUGAACAGACUAUUCAACUUCUUAAUAAACAGGAUAUUGAUAUUUUUAAAAAAACAUUAUAAUUAUAUGCAUAUUGGUUUGGUACAAAUUGCUUUUAGACCUUUAACAUUAAUGGGUCUUCUUGAAACAUUUUUAGCAGCUCUCCGUGAUGCUAGAAAUUUAAAUUUUCGAAAAUCCUUAAUGGGAUCUAUCGAAUCUACUCUUGCAUAUGGCCCUGUAUAUUUUAAUACUCAGCCAAAUUUACAAUUAUCUCUUACUGAUGUGAAUAUUCUUCAUGCUCUAACCUUAAAUGUAAAAACUCAUGGUUAUAAUUAUGCUCAUAGUUCUGAGCUUAGUGGACUAUCUUAUCGUACAUAUUAUCGAUUGUUGUCAAACCUUAAUCCUCGCUGUAAACUAAUCAAUGAUUCUUCCGAUUGUACAAUGAUUAUUGAAACUAAUUUUAUAAAAUCUAGAGUCACUACCCGCAGACCUAUUAGGUGGGAUGAAAUUGAUUUUCCAAAAAUUUAGAUUUUAAAUUCAGUCACUUCUCCAAAACAAUUGGCAGAGGAAGUGACUAAUUCAGAGUUAACUCAUGUAUCUCAAAACUCUGACGGUAGAAUAUGCUUACAAUUUAAUGAUACUCCUCCAGUAUAUAGAAAUUCUUUUUCACUACCAAGAAGGUUACCUCCCAUACAUCAUAUUUCUCCUAUAGAUCCAGAAUAUGGUCCAGCUAGGAAUCGUGCUGCAUCCUUCGAUACUAUUAAUUCUGCAGAUUCGCAUGUUACACCUAAGAAUGUAGAAAAAAUAAAAAUUAAUUCCAAAACGAAUAUAGUUCAAGAUUUUGAUAAUGAAAAUCCUACCCCAUCUGAGAUGGAUUUUGAUAUAAAUUCUAUUUAAUUAUGAUGACACAACUUAUUAAUUUUAGUCCUGGUUCUCAGACAAGAAAAUGUAUUCAAAAAUAAUUUUUUGAUAAAAAAUGGAUUAUCUUUAGGACUUGGUUUUUUAAGGCCUAUAGUUCGGAUGAGUUAAAAAACUUCUCUAAAAUUUUUUAUGAAAGAUGCGCAUUGCAUAAUCAAAUUAUUUACUUCGUGCCAUAGUUCAUGUCUGCAUAUUUGCCUUUGUAUGUUAAGGUUAUUGAAAGAUCUUACCAAAGUUCUAAUGGUACUAUAACACAAGCUAUUUGCCCUCCUUAAUCAUCUUUUAUACUGCCUAAUAAUACUGGUUUAACUUUCUCUGCUUUUCAACAAUUUAUCGAUAAUGAUGUUGGAAAAAUCACUAUUUUUGAAAUUAAUUGUCUGAUUGCCCAAAAUAAUUAUUUAAGCCUUUAUGUAAAAGUUCUAGGAGAACAUAUCUCCUCUUUUGAUGAAAAGCUUGAUAUUAUGGCUAAUUUGAUUAAAAAUCUUAGUGAUGGUCAAAAGUCUUCCGAUAUUGCUUCUACAUCAGAAAGUAAGUCUGAAAACCUAACUGCUAAGCCGCAUAUUCAAAGACCUCCAAAUAUAGAUAUAGAAGGAUUUAGAUAACCCUCUGACUUAGAACAGUUUGAAAAAUUGCUUGAAAAUAAAUUCUCUGGUCUAAAUAUAAAACCUAUCGAUUUAUCUAAUAAUUUUGCUGAUACUAUAGAAUCUUUAACCAAUAAUUUUGCUGAUGUCCAAACUACUCCAAUCGGAGCAGAAAUCCAUUCAAAGUUAAAUAAACUCAAAGGAUUGGUCAAAAAACAACUGGGAAAGAAAUAUGUGGAUAUUCCUCGGAUGCAAACUGUCUAUUACCCUCGACCAACUCCUCAAGAUAUCCUGAUCGAAGAGAGAGAUUGGUCCCUCAUUAACACUUCUUAUAGUGGCGAACAUAUUUAUGAAUGGAAUUUAGAUGGUUUAUCAGAAAGACAAUUGUCUAUUUUGGUUCAUCGUAUGUUAAUGUAUUCUACUAUUGCUAAAGGCUCUAGCCCUAAAGACAGUUCGGGAAAUCCUACUCGCUCAAAUAACAUUAUUUGUAAAAUGAUUGAUGCUGGUUUUACUGGUCAACUUCGUGGAAGGUGGAAUAAUUUUCUUUCUAGUGAAGACCGAAAUAAAAUCUAUGAAGCCAAAAAUCUUUUACUUGGGGUAGAUAACCUAGGUUGGGAUCUUUCUGCAAAUAGAGAAGAUACCGUUUAUACCCUUAUGCUUACUAUUAUUCAACACUUUGGAGGUAGAUUUACCAACCAACAUGAAAACACUCGCACUCUCUUAAAUGGUUUAAGGUGUAGACAUUUAGGCGAAUUUAGAUGGUAUAAAGAUACUUUCCUUUCUAAGGUUAUGGAUUUGCCAGAGUCUAGAUUGGAACAUUGGAAAGCUAGAUUUGUUGAUAGUCUUCCACCACUUUUUGCUGAAAGAGUUAGAAAAACCAUCAAGGGUCAGUACGGUGCAAUCCCUUGGAAAAAUUUUACUUAUGGUCAUCUUCUAGCAGCCUGUACUGAAGAAGGUUUAAAACUCUGCAAUGAAUUAAAAUUAUCUAGGCAAAUUAAGCUAGAUAGAAUGAGAGAAAAAACUCAAUUAGGAGAUUUUUAUGGACAAUUUGGUAUGGAAAAUCCUCCUUCUGCUAGAAAAAAGAGUCAUAAUUCUGACAAAGACAAACCCUACCAGCAAAAAAGAUAUAAACGUAGGUUUNNNNNNNNNNNNNNNNNNNNNNNAGCGUCAAGCUAGAAAGACCAAUCGCAAAUCCUCUAAAUUUACAAAAAAUAGGUCUAAAAGAGACCUAGCAAAAAUCAAGUGCUAUAGAUGUAAUCAAUAUGGUCAUAUAACCCCUAAUUGUAAACUUCAAAAACUCAAGUCUCUAGGACUCUCUGAUGAGGUGCAGGAUUAAGUCUAUGGUCUUUUAUAUACUUCUGGUUCUGAUUCUGACUAUGCAACUGAAUCUGAGGAUGAUAUUGAAUUACCCAAUUCUUCAGAUAUUGAAGAUUAUGAAAAACCUAUGACUAAUGCUUGCACUGAUUGUAAUAAAGAUAAUUGUGACUGUGAUGAUGUUUUUUAUAAACUUCAAUCUCAAUUUGAAGAUUUAGAAUUAAAUAUUUCCACAAUUACUGCUGAUAGAGCUCUAGAAUUGUUGACAGAAGUAACUAAUGAGAAGUUUCAUCAAAAAAUUAUUGAUCUUACUUCUACAUCAACCAAUACUUCCAGUAAUCCUAAGAUUAGUAAUUCUGUUACAAAAUCCUCUAAUAUUGAUGUCAUGCCUUACUCUAUCUCUGAAGUCAAUAGAAGACUUGCUAUUAGUCAAAUGCCAGGAAGAAAUAUCACUUUUAAUGAUUUAAAAACAGAAGUAGAAAAAUUAAAAAAGGAAAUUAUCUCUCUAAAACAAAAUCAAAUGAUCUCUGAUCAUAGGAUUUUGAAAAUCGAUGAAGAUAUUUCUAAUUUUUCCCAAAAAACUAUUUCCUCUAAAGGAAAAGAAAAGGAAGUUGAAAACCCUGACAAUUUCGACAUGAAUAAAAUUGUUCAAAAAAUUGAUUUACAAAAUGAUUAUUUCUUGGGGAUGAUGCAAUUAGUUACUGCUCAUAAAUGGUAUAUAAAUUGCACUAUUUUGAUUAAUAAUGAAUUUUCUAUCACUAAUAUUGCUAUGAUUGAUAGUGGUGCUGAUGUCAGCUGCAUUCAAGAAGGUUUAAUUCUAACAAGAUAUUUUGAAAAAACUACUCACAUAAUUAAGUCUGCAUCUGGUCAUAGUCUUGACAUCAACUACAAAUUACCGCAUACUCAUAUCUGUCGAAAUAAAGUUUGCAUUCCAUAUUUCUUCUUUUUCAUAAAAACCCAGUUAUAUCCUCCUAUUAUUUUAGAAACACCUUUUAUAAAUGCUAUUUAUCCUUAUACAUAUAUCAAUGCAAAUGGUUUGAAGGCUACCUAUAAAAAUAAACAAAUCUCUUAUCCUUUUGUUACUGACCCUGUAACAAGAGAUAUAAAUGCUCUUAUUAAUAUGAAGCAAAAGCAGGUCAAUUUUUUAUAAUUAGAAUUAAAGAGUAUAAAUAUUCUAGAUACAAUGAAGUCUGUAAAAAUCCAAGAAAAAAUAAAAAUGAUUUCUGAUCAAUUGAUUCUUGAUAUUUGUGUUGAUCACCCAAAUGCCUUCUGGGAUCGAAAAAAGCAUAUUGUUUCUCUUCCCUAUGUAGAUGAUUUCUCUGAAGAAAAAAUUCCCACAAAAUCUCGCCCCUGUCAAAUGAAUGCAGAAUUAGUAGAAUUCUGUAAAAAGGAGAUUGAUAGUCUUCUGCAAAAGGGUCUUAUAAAACCUUCAAAAUCUCCUUGAUCUUGUACUGCUUUCUAUGUUAAUAAUGCUGCUGAAAAAGAACGGGGUAUGCCUCGAUUAGUCAUUAAUUAUAAACCCCUGAAUAAAGUUUUAAAAUGGAUUAGGUAUCCUAUACCAAAUAAAAAAGACUUACUUUCUAGAUUAUAUGAUGCUAACAUAUUUUCUAAAUUUGAUUUAAAAUCUGGUUAUUGGCAAAUUCAAAUUGAUAAAGAACAUACUUAUAGGACUGCCUUUAAUGUCCCCUUUGGCCAAUAUGAAUGAAAUGUUAUGCCAUUCGGUUUAAAAAAUGCUCCUUCUGAAUUUCAAAAAAUUAUGAACGACAUUUUCAACCCUUAUAUGGCUUUUAUCAUUGUCUAUAUUGAUGAUAUUUUUGUAUUUUCUAAAAACCUUGAAUUACAUAUUAAACACCUAAAUAUGUUCAAACAAAUUGUUAUACAAAAUGGUUUGGUCAUCUCUAAAUCAAAAAUAAGUUUAUUCCAGACAAACAUUAGAUUUCUAGGACACACCAUUUGUCAAGGUACUAUUGAACCUAUACAAAGAGCGCUGGAAUUUGCUAAAAAAUUCCCUGAUGUUAUUACUGACAAAAAAUAGCUACAAAGAUUUCUUAGUAGUCUUAAUUAUAUUUCUCCUUUUUAUAAAAAUUUGUCUAGAGAUUUAGCUCUUCUAUAUGAUAGACUAAAAAAGGAUUACAAAAUGCCUUGGACUCAAGUCCACACUAAUUUGGUAAAAUUAAUUAAAAAACGAGUUCAAUCUCUUCCAUGUACAUCUCUUGCAAACCCUAACUAGUUAAAAAAUUUUGAAACCGAUGCUUCAAAUAUCGGGUUUGGAGGAAUACUUAAACAAGUUAAUCCCCAUACAAAAACAGAAUGUUUGAUUAGAUUUUAUUCUGGUAAGGGACCGAAAGCCAGAAAAAAUACGCCACUGUAGCUCAUGAAAUACUUACUAUUGUAAAAUGUAUUCUAAAGUUCCAAGAUGACUUAUAUGAUCAAAAAUUUAUUGUCAAGACUGCUGCUUAAUUAGUGAAGUAUAUGUUCGACAAAGAUUUUAAACAUGAUGCCUCUAAAUUAAUAUUUGCAAGAUGGCAAGCUCAUUUAGCCCCUUUUGAUUUCGAAUUUCAUUAUAAGAAAGGUAGUGAAAAUUCUUUGCCUGAUUUUUUAUCUCAAGAAUAUUUGAUCGAUUAACAUGAAUUUUUACUCAUACUUCCUCUCAGAAAAACUAUAAUUACUAUUAUCAAAUGCAUUCCUUUAAACGAGGAUAUUCAUUUUCUAAUCUUAGAAAAUCUGGUUCGUAGUAUAAUAGAAAAAGAAUUAUUCUUUAAUCACGACGAAUUUCUUGAUAGUGAUAUUUAUUGGUUUGAUAUUGACCUAAGUGACUAAUAUUUACAGGAUUAAAAGGAAUAAUGCAGCUCUUUCUCCACUUGUUCUCUCAAAAAUUCUUAAUCACUUUUAUAAAGGCAACUCCUUUAAAUGUGGAUAUGCACAUGCUUAUAUUACGGAAGGUCAUUAAUGAUCUUAUCACAACGGACACAUUAUAUGAAGAUCUAUGUAAGUAUGUGUCAUGGUAUGCUGAUCAAAUUCCUAAUUAUUAAUGUAGCAUGGAACCACCCUGGCAAACAGCCAGAGGACGUAGCAGAGGUGGACGACCUCAAAACUUUUCAUAUUAAGGAGGACGAACAAACUCUUCAUAUUUCGAUCGAAGAAAUCCUGCAUAUAGCUCUGCAAGUUCUAAUUUUUCUGUGUUACAACAAGGAAAUAGGACUCUGAUUAAUUCCAAAAUUCUUCAAGAUGAAUCAUUAUCAUCAAAAACUCUGAAUAUUGGUUCUUCCGUACAUCUGGAAGAUAUUCCUGAAAAUCAUCCACUAUAUAAACAGCUGAAAUCCUAUAUAUAUGAUCAACAAAAAACUGCAGAUUCUUUUGCAUCUAUAGUUUAGGAAAAUUCUGAAGAUAAACCUUCAUAUAAAAAAUUGGAAGCUAGAGAACUCAUUCUAUAUAUUGAAAAUCAGCAUAUUCCUGGUCAAGAAAAUACUGAAGAAGCAUGGAGGAUACUCAGAAAUUAUCUCACUGCUAAUGUUUAUUUCACUGGUGAAUCCUAUAAAAUCCGGACUUAUUAUGAACAUAUAUUAGUCCAAACAUUCAGUGCAACUUUUGAUCAUAGUCCCCUCGGAGAAUCUACACCAGAAGUACAUGAAUACUCUAAAAUGGUGAUUAAAAAACUUUUUCCUAUUGAAGAAUGGGGUAUUUCAUCAAUGACUCAAAAGUCCAUACCAAUGGGGCCAAUGGGACAAACACUCGCAAAUUUUACCUAUUGUGAUUACAUUAAAGCCUUUUCUCAAGUAUUAUACUAUAAUAAUUAUAAACAUAAACACACUUGGUUUAUAAAAAUUUGUGCUAAAGUAUUUGAAAGGCCUAUUCCAAACUGGUUUAUCCAAUGGUGGACUCAGCAUGGACCCACAGUCAAAAUAUUACCUCCUAAAUAUUUCUCUCUCUAUCAUUCAUGGAAGAAAUCUUCACCUUUCUUAACUGAAUUAUAUCUUUCAGAGCAUAUUUGUAAAAUCGAUACUAUUGACCAAAUGUAUUUUUACAUAGAAUUCUCCAUCCCCUGGAUCCAUUGAUGGUCAGUAGAAAUAGGCUAUGACACCCAACAUAUUCCUAUAUCGAACAUUCUAUUGUAAUUUCUAGGGCAAAUUGCUUCGGAAAGAUUCAGAUACUAAACUCACCUAUGGUCAUGAUCAAUGGAAAGAAAUAGUUAAGAAGAUUACCGAAUAUGAAAAAGCUCCCAAAAAAUCGAUUUUAGUUGAAGAAAAAAGUCUUAACUAUGUUUCUAGAAGAAUUUCUGCACAUGAGGGAAAUAAAAUGCAGAUGGUAGAACAAUAUUUAUCUUAAGUUAGAGAUAAAUUACUUCAAACUGUGGAACAAAAUUCAGAUAUAUCAAUGAACAGUACUGAAGGAAACACUGAAGAUAUCAUAGAUUCUCAACCUCCGAAAGUUCUGCUAGAAAAUAAAGAAAUGAUUGAAAACGCUGAAGCAUUUAUUAAGAAGUGGAAAGCUAAAGACAAGAUUUGAUCUGACCUUUUGAUAAAGACUUAUGGAACAGUAAAAGCACUGUGCAUAGGGACCCACCUAAUACUGUGCAAGAUUCCUUUUCCUAUUAUUUAUAGACGCGUCAUUCUUGUUAGAGAGGCAGAAGUUUUCAAGUUCUCUUCUUAUCUUUCUCUCUCCAAGCUCUCCCUUCUCCCUUUAUCUCUCUUGUAAUAAGCUUUGAAGAAUAAAUAAGAAGCCACCGUUUACUACUAUUCCGGCCUUGCUUCAGGCUAUUAAGGUACACUACUUCCUUAUUUGUGAGCAUUCAAUACCUCUUCUUCCCUUGUCCAGCCGGGACUAUGUCCGGCUAAAAGACCUCUUAUUUCUAUGUUGAAAUUCUAACUUCGUUUACAUAGUAACUAUGAAAGAUACAGACUCUAUCAAAAUAUAAAGAAAUUUUUCUAUAGUUUCCUGACUUGGUUCCGAAAUGGUGGUACAGUCGAGUUUAAUGAACUUAUGUUAGCUUUGUCUCUAUGACUACGUCUAGUAAGUUGUGCCUCUUUAGCCCGUUGUACUGAUACGAAAAGGACAAUUUCUGCACAAUUAGAACUUCUAGACAUAUGAGUUUAACAUGAGAUUAUUAAAUCUUUGACAGACCCCUUGUUUGGAUAAAAGAUCCCAUACAGUCAUUAAACUAUUUGAAAUUCUUUUAUAUUUCGGUUGGUGCUUUGGUUCGGUUUUCCGACUUUGGCGUAAUCCGAUAUUGUUAUAAGGUCUGGCAGGCUGAGUGGCAUACCCCAGCCUUGUGAGAUCCUGCAAAUGUAUUGUAUUGUAUUGUAUUAUAUUAUAUUAUAUUUUUCUAUUAAUAAUAUAUAUAAGUAAAAGUUUGGUAGUACCAAAAAGACAAAUUAGUAGCACAGUGAAAAACUCUGCAACAAACAAUUCUUCAGUCAAGAAUUUGAACUGAAGUGUUUACGGAAAGGCCACUAAACUGUAUAAUGACAGUGUAACAAGCCCUAUUAUAUGAAAUUAAGCAUUAUAGCGUAUAAAAUGUUAACAAAAUUUUCUACCACAAGUACUUAUAGUCAGGGUAGCACAACAAGCAACAACAACUACUACGCCUCAAGCCUAAACAAGUUUGUGGUCGGCUAUAUAAUUCUCACUUCUCCAUUUAAGCUCAAAUCAUGUCAUCAUCAUACAAAAUAAACUAAAAGUGAAUAGUUAGUUAAAUAUAUAUAAAUAAUAGUAAUAAUAAUAUUAGAAAAAUUCUCUAACAAGACUAAAUUUCAUUCCCUAGUAGUACAUGUCACCUUUAUUAAUCUUUUACUUCCGUUGUUCCUUAUCUUUAAUAAAAAACACAAGCAGAAGAUAUAAUUACAUUUCAUCAUUGGUUAAGAAUACACAUAAGUCCUAAACAUAAACUAUCAAAGUGUUCCCACUCUGUACUUUCUUACACUAUAAAGUAGCAUGGUAAAGGCGAUUCGAUUUAAUACAAUAAAUAGUCAUCAACAGUACGAUUUGAGUUAAAACAGUACAUAGUCAUCAACUGUUAUAAUAAGAAAAAAGUUUAUAAAGCAAAUAAACAAAAGUCUAAGAUGCCAUUACGAAAGCCACAACCUUUUUUACGAAGCAGAGGCAUCAGCACUAGUUUUUCAACUAAAAAACCAUAGCACUUGUAUAUCAAGCUCUGAGAUUAUUUAAUCUAACGUAGCUGGGAUCCAAGCACAUUGUGCAGGUGAUCGAUCAAAUAGUAAGAAAAUUCUUUAUAAAGUAAUCAUUAAAACAGAAAGAACACAACUUAAUCAUUAGAACAGAAAGAACACAACUUAAUCAUUAAAACAGAAAGAACACAACUAUCUUUUAGUGAUCCUGAGAGGGGAAAAAAUGAAACUUGAAAGGUUAUGGAGGAGUGGAGAAAGAAAGUUCCAGAAGGGAUGAAUGCACAGCUUUGAUGUGAUAGGAGGAGAAGUCUUAACUGAAAAGCUUGAGAUAGAGACUCGAAUUUCUAAUUGAAAGAACUGCAGCCAUUUGUUAGCUUGGGUUUUACAUUUCAUAGUCUAUGAUUUCAAUCUUGUUUCUUUCUUCGUACUUCUUGAUACUUGAAUCAGGGAUAAAAUAAAUGCUGAGUGACUGCAACAGUAUAUUAGAGAACUUACGAUCGAAUUGCAAGACAUAUCUGUCUCUUGUAUAUUCACAAUACAUUCAUACCCUGAGAGCUUUGCACUAAAAUCCUUGUCGAUUUGUAUAUAUGCAGUUGAAAAUUCAUGGAACAUUGCCUGUUGGUGAAGAUAAGAAAUUCAGCAAAAAAUGGCAAUAACAUAGGCCAAGUCUAAAUAUGAAAAGAACAUAGAUGACAUCGGACAAUACAAGUUGGAGUGCUGGAAAAAAAGGCCACAGGUUGUGAUACAAGUACGAUCGUGAUUUUAGACCAAUAUUAAAGACUCAAGCUCGGGUGGCUGCCCAACCAAUGGAACAAGCUUUGAAGUGUAGAGAACAAGUCCCAACACUCCAAAGUCAUCCAAUAUGCACACUCCAAGGCCUCCCUUUUAUCUUGGCUCAUUAAGGGCAUUCUAGUCAUUUUGUAUUAAGUUGAAACCUAGGCUAUAAAUAGGACAUGUUAGGUCAUUUUGUCAUAUCUUUUGAUGAUAUUUUGAGAGCUCUAGAGAGAGAGAGUCUUGCAAGGUGGAUUCCUUGUAAACAAGUGUGGAUAUCACUUGUGUUGGUGCUAGUUUUGAAACGUUGGUUGUUUGAAAAUCCCGUUCCCUUGAGGUCACCGUAGAGCUUGGUGUUACUUGUAUAAAUUCUUGGGUCUUCAUGAUUAAUAUACACUUAGGUUCAUAGUGUUUGUACAUUUGUAUGUCAAGUUACCUAUCUUUCUAUCUAUUUCAUUGUUGUUGAUGUUCAUUCUCAGGUUGGUGUCCCAAAACCGAGACUUUGUGUUUUUCUUAUUCUUGUGCUUGUGUUGUUGAUCUAGUUUGUUGGCUCACUGAUUUUAGAGAUGUUGAACACCUUAAUAUCUUGUUUGUUAUUGUGUUUUCGUUAUUGUUGUAGUGAAUCCGAGAGUGGUCACCAAAGGAGUCCUUGGUUCUUCCAACUUGUGGACUAUUUUGGUGUUUGUUUUGUGCCUCCUUUGUCGAUCUUGUAUCAUUUGGUAUCAAAGCAUGACUUGAUUUUGUUCCCACAAGAUCAAUCUUCGGCUAGCUUGCUUGAAAAUACAAACAAAAAAAAGAGUAGUGUUCUUGAGUUUGGAUCUUGGUCGAAAGUUUGUUGUGUUCUUGUUGUGUUUGGCCGAGACUUGAACAUUAGAUCUAGGAGUCAUUUUGUUUGUCUUGGUGUUUCAAGUGUUAUCUUUCUUCAUCACUAAUACUCUUGAGUCAAGAUCUAAAUUUGAGCUUACAUUUAUUGAAGUGUUAUUGUGAACUUAAAACCCUUAGCCGAUUGUGUUGUCAUCUUGGUAGACUUGGCCGUGAUUUGUUGGCCUUUUUGUUGUUGGAAUUGGUUGUUGGGAUUAUUGUGUUCUUGGUGAUUGUUGAAGUUGUUCUUGAUGUUCUUCAUCCCUUUCAAGACUUGUUAAAAUAAAGUGAAUACUAGAUCUAUAAAGUUGAAGAGAAAAAGGUGAAAGCUUGUUAGCCUUGAAAGACUUACCAUCACCCAUCAACUAGUCAAUCACUUCCCAACAACUUUCCUUGUUUUAAGGACCUUGUUUUAAGGUAAUGGUACACAAAAAUAAAGUCUUCCACUUUUGAAUUUGACAAUAGGAUUUCAAAAUUUGUUUCCCUCCUAAAUCAAUUCCCUCCAAUUCCAAAUCACAAAUUGUUCAAUACUUCCAAUUUUGGAAAAUAAAUUUGUUAAGACCGCAACCAUUACGUGGCUUCCAGUCACACGACAAAUUUAGGCUCAAAAUUUUGAUUUCUUAGUUUCUAAUAUUUGUUUCUUAGUUGCAUUUUGUUGAUUCUAUUGCUAAUUAACAAACUAGUAAUUGUCUACUAGGUUGUAAAUUAGUUUUUGGGUCCAUUUAUUCGUGUCUACGUUUCUUGGUGUGCUUUUAUCUUUUUAAAAUCCAUUGUAGUUUCUUGUUUCAAGUUUGUACGUAUUUUCUUUGAGUUGUUUCAAAAGAGAAGCUAUUCUGACUUCGAGCCCCAAUUGGUACCAAGUAAUCUCCUUGGAGUAUAAAUGAGUUACCAACACUUGUGAGGCCAAUUGAGAGGCAUUUCAAAGUGUGAGAGCUUGAGAGCUUGUGAGGAUAUUUUCUUUUCUAACAUUAACUAGUUUGUUGUUUUUUGUGUUUUUGUUUUAGAAUUUCUUUUGUUAGGAACUAUGGCAUUGGAAAAGGUGACCAUGAACGAUCUGAUGGUUGCCAUAAUGGGUAUAAAACAUGACCUUAGUAGCCGAAUGGAGAGAAUGGAAAAAUAAUUGACUGAGUGGAAGGAAGAAUGGAAUGGACGAAAAGCUCUCUUUGCAAGGAUUUGGAUAACUUGAUAAAGAAUCCAAGCCUUCCUAUUCGAGUUCCUAUGAAUGGACAUGCUACAGAUGAGCUACAAGGUAAUCAAACUAACUCUUCCACUCUAGUGAAUGCGACUAGUAGCCAACUAAGUAUGCAUGGUAUUUUAUCUUUAGGUGAGCCGAAUGUGACUCCAUUUGGUGAUGAUAAUGUACAACUUGAUAUUGUGGAUACACUAGUUGAUCUAUUUAGUGUUGAGGCUAUUGUGACAAGUGAUACUACAGUGUCUUAUGGAAGUCAUGAAGACCAACUUAUGUGAGAAAAUGGUAAUGUUGAACAUGUUGGCCGAUUGACUAUGGAUGACCCUCUAGUUGUUUUUGUUGUAGACCAUGCUAUUAUAGAGGGGAUAUAUGAUUGUACUAGUGGUAGUAUUGGGAAAAAGAAAUGUAUCCUAAACCCGUGUCCAUGGACACUCCACCUAUUUGAUUAGGUGAUGAGGAUAUCUUUUGUAAUGAUUUGAAUGUGCAUGGAAUUUAUGGCCUUCCUAUCUCGGCUUUCAAGCCUAUUUGUUGUUCCAAGAAAAGUCUAUGUUUUCCAUUUGAUGAAUAACUCAUGUUCCUUGUUUCUUAUCACACUUAUGUGCAUAGACUAGUUGACACUUUCUUGGGAGGGUAUUCGGGUAAAAGGGAUGUUUGGGUGUAUGUGAAGUUUGAGCUACCUUGGCAAGAUGCUAUGACUGAUUACAGUAAUCCUAACCCUCAUACCUUAAGGAACUUGUGUUUGAUUGUCCUUUUUAUUAUUUUGCAAGGUUCGGAUUCGAGGUUGAAUCCUUUUUCAAGAAGGGGAGGAUGAUAUGAGUACGAUCGUGAUUGUGGACCAAUACGUAAAGACUCGAGCUCGGGUGGCUGCCCAACCAAUGGAACAAGCUUUGAAGUAUAGAGAAAAAGUCCCAACACUCAAAAGCCAUCCAAUAUGCACACUCCAAGGCCUCCCUUUUAUCUUGGCUCAUUAAGGGCAUUCUAGUCAUUUUGUAUUAAGUUGAAACCUAGGCUAUAAAUAGGACAUGUUAGGUCAUUUUUUCAUAACUUUUGAUGAUAUUUUGAGAGCUCUAGAGAGAGAGAGUCUUGCAAGGUGGAUUCCUUGUAAACAAGUGUGGAUAUCACUUGUGUUGGUGCUAGUUUUGAAACGUUGGUUGCUUGGGAAUCCCGUUCCCUUGAGGUCACCGUAGAGCUUGGUGUUACUUGUAUGAAUUCUUGGGUAUUUGUGUUUAAUAUACACUUAGGUUCAUAGUGUUUAUAUAUUUGUAUGUCAAGUUACCUAUCUAUCUAUCUAUUUCAUUUUUGUUGUUGUUCAUUCUCGGGUUUGGUGUCCCAAAACCGAGACUUUGUGUUCUUUUUAGUCUUGUGCUUGUGUUGUUAAUCUAGUUUGUUGGCUCACUGAUUUUAGAGAUGUGGAACACCUUAAUAUCUUCUUGUUAUUUUGUUUUCGUUGUUGUAGUGAAUCCGAGAGUGGUCACCAAAGGGGUCCUUGGUUUUCCAACUUAUGGACUAUUUUGGUGUUUGUUUUGUGCCUCCUUUGUCGGUCUUGUAUCAGGUUGAUACCUGGAAAGGUUCCUCCUCAUGUAGAAAUGUAAUAUCGAUCUGGACGUAGCUUGACCUUUUUGGGGCUCUCUCAGUAAUACUUAGUGUAUGAAUCUGUUCCUUCUCUACGUAGGACAGAACUGACAGAGCUGUGUGUGAGACAUUAAAACUGAUCAAAGCUGACUUCUUAAGUUGAAUCUGAAAUAAUAUUUUUAACAGUAUCUCAUGGACCUGAUUAAAGGGUAGCAAUUGAUUCUGCAAACAAAAAGGGAAAAACUAAAUUUAAAAGUUGCUAAUCAAGGUGGUAAAAAUGAUGUGACAGUACGUUAGCACAUGUUGUGUUAAAUAUGUCUUCUGUUGUCAUGGAAUGCAUCUUUUCUCCCACGUCACCAGAAAUUAAUGUUGUCGUCGAGCUACUACCAUCGACAAGAUCAAUUUGAAAGGUCCAGCUGAAACCAAGGUGAGAUAUGUAUAUUUGUAUAUGUAUAUGUAUAUAUGAAAGGAAAAGUUAUUAUACCGAGACACUAAUGUUGUCGGUCGAAGAUAUUUUGGACAAUUGAAUUCUUUUACACUCUUCGUACGCAUCUUUUGCUUGCAGCCUGGACAUUCAAGCACACAAAAUUUUUGCAGGUCAUUUGAUAGGGACAUUUCUGCCUCAACGUAAAAAACUCCAAUAUGUCGAGAAAUGACAACCUUAUUAUCCUGAAUGUUUUUUUUAGAAAAGAACCAAAAAGCCCCAAAUUCAGCUCAUAAUAAAAAAGAACCUGCCAAAAACUCAAAAGUGAACAAAUUUUCAUGGUACCUCGCGAUCAAAUGAUGGCGUUGUUCUAAGGAGAUUUUGGCAGGUCAGGAUACACACGGAAGACUUGCUGUCUUUGGCCCAAACAAACUUGAGGAGAAAAAGGUAAACUUUCUUAUCUUUAUUGCCUUUUGUUUGAUUAUCUUUUGCUAUAUGGUGAUUAUAUUAGAAUAACGAUAGCUAAUUUUUGGAAUCUACAUAAUGAAACAGGAGAACAAGAUACUAAAAUCACAAAAUUGUUGAAUCAAAUUAAUACACCUAAACUGAAAUAAAUCAAACUCGAAAUCAAUGAAAUACGCAUAAUAAAGGCAAAUGUGGCCUUUUGUCAAUGGGUUUAUCCAACAAUUCAAAAGUACAACGACUACAACACUAAACCUUAAAAAUAAAUUUAUUGAAUUUAAAUCUUAUAUCUGUGUCAAGUUCAACCCUAGUAUUCUAUUAAUUAUGAAGUUCGCAAACAAUCAGGAAACUACAACACAAUAUAUUGAAAUCACAAAAUAGAAUCAAAUUAAUAGCUUAAAAUUGAAACAAAUCCAACUCAAGAUCAAUGAAAUGUGUAUAACAAACAGUUUCGAUAAAGAAUUAUCACAAGAAACUUAGCUUCUAAGUGCCAACUGCUCAUUAGUUAAUAUCUAAAGUAUGGGCAAACAUCAAUCCGUUGUAAUGAUCUAAAGUAAAUGGGUCACAUAGGAGGCACGCGUUUAAUGAGCAGAACUAUCAAGGGCCAAGAUUAGUAGUUAGCUAUUCAUGUCAAUGCAUCAUAUUCUUCCAGCUAGGAGCCAGCUGUCAAGAUCCAGCUUAUGUUAAUAAAUACCUGGAGAUCCAUCUUGCAAAGACAGUUAUUGAUUUACCGGUAUCCUUCACCCGAAAAUUCUCUCUCUAGAUUCUUCUUUCGCUCCUUCCUUCUAUCUUCUUAUUCUUCACCCACCCUAAACUUCAUUAUAUGUAUUCAAAAGCUUGAAGUCAUCUAUGGAGUUGUAGUGUAGCUAGAUUGUAACUAUUGACUCAUCUAUCAAUAAAAUUCCUUCUGCAAUUUAUUAAUUCGUUGUGUUUAUGUUGAGUACAUUACAUCCGUCACCCGAAAAAGACAUUAGGUGCUCGAAAAUAGUCGAAGUAAUUGAAUAAGUGUAUGGGGAAGCCAAAGAUUACUCUUCACUACUUUUUAUUGUUGGAGCCACUUUCUACUUCUUUCUAUUAAACUCGAAUGAAAAAUUUAAUGAGAAACUGAAUACCUUUCAAUUUUUUCAUUGAUCUGCAGAUUUUCUAAAUUUUAAUUUCAAAAUCCAAAAUUAAAAUCUCAAAUUCCUUAAUAAAAAUAGUAAGAAAAAUUAUCAACAUGCAACACUUGAGGAUUUAAAUGUAACCACAAAUAACCAAGAACAUAUAAAAAUUGAUGCCAAACUCAAAACAAAAAUCUAUUAUAACAAAAUAAUACCUUGAAGGUUACAGUGAUUGAAAAUCAACAAACUCCAAAAGAGAACCUAAGCCAAAUGGGUGUGUGAGAGAGUGAUAAGAAACAGUAGAAGCAAAAGUGAAAAGAGAAUGUUAGUAAGGUGAUGGAGAAGGCAGAGAAAGAAUUGGAAGAAGUAUGCAGGUUUGAGUAUGUAGACGUGGCAGAAUUGAAGCAUAAAUGUAACCCUGAAACAAUAAGUAAUUAUAAAAAUACCCUUGGACGAUAAAAAACCCUCACUUAUACUAUACUACUAGUAUAGUAGAAUAAAUAUGUAAUUCGGAAAUAUCCUUGGACGACCAAAAAUCUUCUUUUCUACUUCUAAAACUUGAAUAUUUGGCACGUGGCUUUGGUCAUACUAAUUGUGUCUAGACAUAUCUAAUCAUCCAUGCCAAUUGGGGUCUAGUUGUAUUCUUGAUUUAAUGAGCAUAUCAUGAGUUGAAAUAUAGAAACAUAUAAAACAAUCUAUAUAUAAUAUAAAGGAGGUCAUAGCCAAAAUGAUGUGACAUCUUUUUGUGGCCUCCAAUUGUAUUUAUCCUUUUUCUUAUUUUUUUACCAUUUCUUGCUCUAUUUCACUAUAUAAUAAUAACACUAAUAAUUUACUUUAAGAUAUCUUAUAUAUAAAAAUUACUCCACGUAAUAGUAAUUAUUCUGCUCUUAAUGUUAAACUUAAAUUGUCCAAUUAAAUUGGAUAUAAGUGCAUAUUGAAUACUUAGUUUUCUUCAACUUUCCCUUGCCUAUAACCCCCAUACAACAAGAGUUACGUAUUAGAAGAAAAAAAUAAUUACUUUGGCAUUUACUUUUUACAUUAAGCCAUGAAUGCAAUCAUUUAUCAAUUAUUUUAGUUGCAUAUAUAUGCUUUUCAUUACUUCUCAACAGCAAAGCAUGCCAUGCUGAUACCAACAACAAAAAAAAAGUAAUGCAAAAAGAGAGCCGAAUUCAUAUAGAUAAUUCUUUUGUCCUUUUUUUAUUUACUUAUUUUUCUGAGAGAGGAGAAUUUUUUUACGACUAUGGAGAAUUUGAUUGUUAUUUAUGUGAUACAUUUUUCUUUUGAUAUGUUGUGAAUAUUAUCAUACAUGCAUAAAUGAGCAUAUAGUUAUUGAAAUGUUGAAUAGUGUGACUUCUUUAUGAUUAUGAUGAUGAGUUUUGAGUUUUUAUUUAUUUUUCAUAUGUUUUUUAUCUUUGUUAUGGUGAGUUUUGAGUGAUUUCAAGUAGAGUAUACUUUUAUGAUGUUUAAGCUGAGGAUUUCUUAUGUUUUCCUAUGGUCUUCUUAUUAUUGUUAUAUUAUUUUUUUGUUUUUAAACAGGAAAAGAUGCAAGUUGAGAGUACAGAAGCUAAGAAUCUUCACUAAAAUGACAAUGUAACACGCUACAAUGUUUUAAUUUUAGCACUUACAUUUUAUCAAUUAUUUGCUUGCUUUUUUUUAUUAACAUGUUUUUAAUUGUGAAAUUAUUUAUGGAUAGUGAAUUACAUUCGUUGAUGUUUGUAUGUAGAAAUGUGUAAAAUAAUCUGAUAAUUAAUUCUUUAUCUUAUGUUUUCACUCAUUUUUAAUUGACAAUGAACUUGAAUGGCUUUUUUGGGGCUAGUUCCAUCAAUUCUAGAAAUAAUAGAAAAUGGAAGCUAUUAAUUUUUUGAUAUUUUUAAACUUUUGUGUAUUCACGCGGAUAAUUCAAUAGAGAAUAUAAUAAGCUACGCAAACUGGAAAUAGUUUUCCACAAAGUGGACAGUGGUGUCUUUAACUUUGUAUUGUUAAAUGUAGCCAUCUCAGUGUCCUCUCCAAAUUGUCGCUUGACAGCAACUUAUCUUAGAUGUUUAAAUUUUUCGAUCAAUAUGUAGUUCAUCCUAUGCGGCAUGCUUAAAAGCUUUCAAUGCCAUUUAUUUUUUUAGUGUUUUUAUGAGAUAUUAGUUGAGUUUUUUCCUUAUUCUAAUUAUGUAUGUGUUCAAGUAUUCUCCUUUUACAUUUUUUUGUCCCAUUAAACUCAAUUUAAUACGUAGAAUUUUAAAAGCCACCAUUAAUAAAAAAAACACACAGGCUCUUUAUUGUCAUUUGGCCUUUUGUUUUGAUGAUUCAAUUCAACUUAAUAGAGUAUUUAGAAAGUCUAAAACCACCACUAAUUAAAACUUAACAAGUCAACUUAAUGGAGUAUGUAGAAAGUCUAAAAUCACCACUAAUUAAAACUUAACGGUUGUAUGUCUCAACUAAAAGAUCAAAAUCCUUAUUAGUUUGUAAUAAUGAGGCCUUUAAAAUACAACCAUUUAUAACCCAUGGAAACAAGUUUGUCUUUUAAUUUGAAUUGCAUCCAAGUCAGCAAGGAAAAAUCGAAGGAGAAGUCAUCAAUCAUGGUGAGAAAUUCAAACAGUAUGAAAUUUCAUGCUUGAUUUUUCUUUUUGCUUUUUUCCUUUUCACAUGAUUUUGAGAUUUGAAGGGCGUUUGUCCAUUAUUGUUGUAUUGGUUGAAAAAUUGUGACAGUUUUACUUGGUUUCGUCACUUGCAAAAAAAAAUAUCAUUGCUUUGUCAGUUUUAUAUGAAUAAUCUUGUUUUCAAAAGUAUUGUUCACUUUACGUUCAACUUUUUAUUUUGCUUAUGACUAAAGAGGAUCAUAUAUAAUCCUUUUGCUAAUAUUAUACUUUUUAUAUGAUUUAAGAAAUUUGGGACAUCAAUUGAGAUUUUAGAAAUUAACCUUUGCCUCCCAUUUCAAACGCAAGUAGCUGAUGAUGUUUUUAAAUGUGAGUAUUUUUGCCGGUUCUUUUCUUCUGUGAAUAACUUUUUCUUUUCUUCUUAUAAGAAAAGGAUGAAGAUUUUUGAAAAUGUUUCUUUGAGGUUUAAUCCGCAAGUUGCAUGAUACUAAAGUAUAACUUUAUGUUUUAUCUCUAAAUAAAUAUGUAGAUUAAAUUACUUCUAAGAUAUUUCAAUAAUAAAGCUUAAUCUUACGGAUCGUCAGAUACUUAAAUCAACUAACAAUGAUAUCCAUUUUCGUAGAAUGAGAAUCUUAAAUGAGACUGUAAAUCUCAAACAUUAUUGAAUCUAUGGUUCAUUGGCUGCACUUCCUUUCAUGGAUUUUAAUUUACAACAAAUUCUACUUAUAUGUGAUAAUUAAAUGGAGUAAUAUUUUAUUCAUAAUUUGUUGCUUGUAUAUAUGUGAAAUUAAGAUAAAAGUAAUACAUAUUGUCUAUUUGGUUCUCCAACAAAUUUUGGAUGAAUUUAUUACAUGAAUGAAUGUCGUAUCUCUAUUAGUUGAUGCUAAUAUCUCUACAGAUUGCUGUUGAUAUCAUAAAAUAAUUAUAAUUUAUCAUUGUUAUGUCAUGAGAUCUAAAAAGCACUAUUAAAAAAUAAUAUUAAAUAUUUUUCUUAAAAAAUCAAUAAAUUGUGUAAAAAUAUAAAAUACUUUCUUUUUGUUUUUUCUAUUCAUUUACUCCCCCCCCCCCUCCAUCUCUCUCUCUAGAUGUUUUUUUUUAUUUGUAAAAUGAUACAAAUAUUGAAACAACAAUAAUUUUAAAGAUGUCAAAAAGUGAAAAAUAAAAAAUAAAGAUUUGUAAGAAUACAUUUUUUAUAGUAAAGGUGCAAUAUAUAGAGGAAGGAAAAGAAAAAAGUAAUAAAAAAAUAUAAACAAAUAAAGAUGUAGUGCUGAUUGACGAAACACAGUGUGGGGGGGGGGGGGGGGUGUGUGAAUGAGAAAUUGGAGGUUUAGAGGCAAACUCUUGAAUCUAAGGGGUUCAGGUUGAGUAUGUCCAAGACGGAGUAUUUGAAAUACAAGUUUAGUGACUCGAGUCAGAAGGACGGUGUCGUGUUGUUGUUGGAUUCUCAGGAUGUUUGUAAGAACGAUAGUUUUAAGUAUCUGGGUUCUGUGAUUCAGGGGAAUGGCAAGAUUGAUGAGGAUGUCACUAAAAGAAUUGACGCAAGUUAGAUGAAGUGGAGGCUCACAUCGAGAGUGUUGUGUGAUAAGAAGGUGCCACUUAAACUUAAAGGCAAAUUCUAUGGAGUGGCAGUCCGUCCGGCCAUGCUGUAUGGAGCGGAGUGUUGGCUAGUCAAGAACUCCCAUAUUCAAAGAUUGAAGGUGGCGGAAAUGAGAAUAUUGUGUUGGAUGUGUGGACUAACUAGAGAGGAUAAAGUUAGGAAUGAGAUUAUCCGGGAGAAGGUAGGGGUGGCUUCGGUUGAGGACAAGAUGCGAAAAGGAAGGUUGAGAUGGUUUGGGCAUGUGAUGAGGAGGGGCACGAAUGCCCCUGUUCGGAGGUGUGAGAGGCUAGCUUUGGAUGACUUCAAGAGGAGUAGAGGUAGGCCUAGGAAAUACUGGAGGGAGGUGAUUAGGCAUGACAUGGAACUGCUUCAGAUUACUGAGGACAUGACCCUAGAUAGGAAGGUGUGGAGGUCGCGGAUUAGGGUAGACGGCUAGGGUAAGUGUGUAGGUAAUCGCUAGGUGAUAGGGGAGUUUGGAUGUGGUGGGUGUUUUAGGCCUGUGAGGGCAUGUUACUACCACAUGGGUAUCUAUGUUCUUAUUUCAUAUUCCGUAUUGUUCGUAUUUAUCUUAUUUCCCAUUUCUCUGAGACUUAGUGUUCUUAUUUUUCUUAUCUCUUAUUUCUGUUAUGCUAUACAGCCUGUUUCAUGUCUCAUUACGACCUUGGUAUACUAUUCUUUAUCUUGAGUUGAGGGCCUAUCGGAAACAACCUCUCUACUUCCUCGGAGGUAGUGGUAUGGACUGCGUACACUUUACCCUCCCCAGAUCUCACUUUGUGGGAAUAUACUGGGUCUGUUAUUGUUGUUGUUGUUUAAUGAAAGCAAAAAAAAAAAAAAUUCUUAAAUACAUAUAUAUUUAAUAUAUUAAAUUAAAAAAUUAUGUAUUAACCUUUUAAUGUAAGAAACUUUUUUUGACUUUUUUUAUUUUCUUAAAAAUAUAAAAAUCAUAAAAUUUAAGAACUAAUAAUAAAUUAGAUCAAGAGCUUUUUAGAAUAUUGAGCACUUAAUAUUUUUAAAAAUUAUUUUGUUAAUAGGUAUUUUAUGAUUGCGCGAAGCGCGGUCACGUUUUCUAGUUAUAACGUAUAUUUAAUAUAUUUAAUAUGAUUUCAUUAAAUUAUAUAACUACGCAUUGGAUAAGAAAAAAAAAAAAAAGGUGAACUGCGCGCAUGUUACAAAAUAAUUCAAGGAAAAUCUCAUGUUUACUUUGGUUAUGAUUUGAAUAAUAGAAUUAAUGAGAUAAUUUUCUAAUGUUUAUAGUUUUGAUCUUUGUUUGUUAAGAAGAGAGAUAUACUAGAAUAAUUUAACUUGUUUUUGAAUAUUUGUAUCUCAAUUUGUAUUUUGAGUAGGCAAAACUCCUACAUUGACAAUAUGAGUUGGAGCUUAGAGUUCAUGGAUAAUGACUAGGCACUUUUAGUACGAUUUCGUAUGAGAAAGGUGAGCUUGAGACAUUUUGGUACCUGUGGAAUUUCACUGGGUAUGCUGUCGCCUGUUGUUGUUGUGUGAUCCCAACAAAAGAAUAUGAGUACUAGUCGGUUUCUACUUGUUUUGCCUCCGGGGUUAUUAUUUGUGUGUAUGAUAUUUUAUUUUACUAUGUUUUGAAAGUACAUUUAUAGUCCUUUUCAUGUUAUUUAGACCGAGUUUGUGCAGUUGAAUUGCUUACAAUCUCGUUUUCAUAUGUUAGGCAACUUUAUUUUGCCCACCGCUACUACGAAAAUUGUUUUUGCUUUCUUUUUCUCUGACUAUUAAAGAUAUUUCAGUUCGUCAAAUUGUAUUUUGUUUGCCCAUGGAUUCAUCGACAAUUCGAAAAAAUUGCCUCACUGGGAAAUCUCCGAAUGAGAAUAUAAGUGUCGGUACCAUUAUGAUGAGUGUAAAAUUUACACUAUCCACAAGAGAUUAAAUUUCAUCUUUAAUCAAGAGGAUUUAAAUAUGAGAUACUCAAUUAGUAGCUAUUUUUAAUCAUCGAAGAAAGAAGAAUGUUGUGCUAGGUAUAUUAAGCCAAAAGUUUAUUCGCAACUUGAAUUGUAUUACAAUUGAUGUGUGGCUAUUAGCCAUGGAGAUACAAAACUGAGCAACUAUGAUAGAUUGGAUCAUAUUGCUAUAAUGCCUAGCAGGAUACUUUUUUCUUGAGAAUUUUUUUUUUAUAUAUAGAAGAGUAGAUUGUUUGUUACAAGUCAUAACAAUAUUUAUAGAUUUUAAUGUAAGGAAAAGGACACCAUGUAGCUCUUUAAAAAAAUAAUGGACAAUAAUGACCCACGUUUCACUUUUUGGACAAUAAUGUGUAUAAAAACUGUAUAUUUAAGGUUUGUAUAUGAUGUGUAUAAAAAUUGUAUAUUUAAUGUUUGUAUAUGAUGUGUAUAAAAACUGCAUAAAUAUUUAAGGUUUAUAUAUGAUGUGUAUAAAACUGUAUAAGAACUAUAUAUUUAAGGUUUGUAUAUGAUGUGUAUAAAAACUGUAUAUUUAAGGUUUGUAUAUGAUGUGUAUACAAACUGUAUAUUUAAUGUUUGCAUAUGAUGUGUAUAAAAACUGUAUAAGAACUGUAUAUUUAAGAUUUGUAUAUGAUGUGUAUAAAAACUGUAUAAAAACUGCAUAUUUAAGGUUUGUAUAUGAUGUGUAUAAAAAAUGUAUAAAAAUUGUAUAUUUAAGAUUUGUAUAUAAUGUGUAUAAAAACUGUAUUAUAUAGAAUAUAUUUUCUAUAUAUGAUCUAUAUAGAAUUUGUAUCAAUGCUGUAUAGAAUAUGUAUAUCGAUAGGAUGUAUAUAAACUGCAUAAAUAUUGUAUAGAGUUUGUAUCUAAAUGAUUAUUUUACCUAAAUUAAUGUACAGAAUGUGUAUAACCUCUUGGCAAAAAUAAAAGACACGAAAAUAGUUAUAAAACAUGUAUGUGAGUCAUUAAAAUAUGCUAUUUUUAAAAAAUUGUAUUUCAAAAAAAUACAAAAUUUUAUUUGGUUACGACAUUAUAAAUUAGUAUUUGAUUAUUUUAAAAGAAAACUACAAAAUUUUAUUUGAUUAUUUUGUUUAUUGAUAGUAUUAAAAAAAUAUACAAAAACAUCAGUAAAAAAAUGAGCACAACCAAAAUAAAAGGGAAAAGGAAGAAAACAUAACUACCAGGAAAACAAAAAAAAAGACAACGAAAAAAUAACACAAAAAUAAAUAUAAUAUUAUAAAUUUUUAUUUUACAAAACUAUAAAAUUUUAUUUAGUUAUGAUAUUAUAAAUCUGUAUUUGAUUAUUUUAUUAAUAGAAUUAAAAAAUAAAUAAAAUAUUACUUUUUUAGAAAAAUAAUGAGCACAACCAAAAAAGGGGAAAAGGGAAGAAAACACAAGGAGCAGAAAAAAAAACAUUGAAGGCAAAUUUAUUAAAUGAUCAGUGGUCCAAAAUAAUAGAGAACAAUUUUUUUUAAAAAAAAUUAAUAGAGAGCAAUUUUUUUUCCUUUUUAAUAGAAAUAGCAGUGGUCCAACAAAAGAGAUGGCCGCCUAAUUAGCCAAUAAAAUGGCUACUAUUUGAAAUUUUGAAACAAUGACCAUUUCGGUGUCAUUUGUUUUGGUCGAGUGGCCAUUUAUGUCUUUUACCCUUUAAUGUUUAACAAAAGCUUUUUAACAAAGAAAAUUAAAAUAGUAAAAACAAUACUUUUUAUUUAUUAAAAGCAUUUCUUUAAAAAAAGUGGUCUGUUAAUAAAAGGAUAUCAGUCACCUCUGAGUUCUCUGUAAAAUGAUUUAUUUUGCUGAUUUAAAAUUAAAGCUGCGUCUUUUUAUUUUAUAGUCUAUUCUUUUUCUUUUUCUUUCUUCAACAAGUCAGAAAUCAUAUGCUGAUUGAAACACAAAAUUAUCCAAUUUUUUUGGUCUUUAAAGGUAAAAAAAACCCAUUAAAAUGGAGAUUUACGAAUCAUAAUUGCAAUGGAAGUUAUUAAAAAAAAAUGAAGAGCAUUAUUACUUUUUGCAAUAUUGAAGGUGAUAGUUUACAUUCUAUCAUGAUACGAUAUGGAAGAAAUUAGAGAAAAAAAUUCAACUAUAUAUUUUUGUAUGAAGUUGAUAUGUUUAUUGUUUUUCUAAUUGUGGUAUCAGUUUGUUUGGAAGAAAAUUAAUUUUAACUGUCUGAAAUCUGUGUACAAAUUAAUAACUAUAAAUUAUGGUAUUCUAAUUUUCGUGAUACCAUUUUAUCUACACAUUUCAUACAUCAUGUGCUUAAUUCUUGAAUCAAAAUCUCAUCUCAGAAAAUGGAGAGACGAGUGUGUGUGUGGAGUAGGGAGGGGGCCGGGGGAUCUAGAAUAUGUAUAACAAAAUAGGAGAAAUUAAAAUAAAGGAAAGAGAUGAAGAGUAUUAAAAAAAUUGUGUAUUUAGGGAAUUUCUUUUUAAAUUAUUACAAGAAAAGAGUUAUUUAAGGAAAAUAUAAACACAAUUAUUUAGGAGGGAUAUUAAUAUAUGUGUGUUAUUGAAAAAAUAAAUAAAUGAAAAAUUUAAGGAGAGAGAGAGAAAUCAAAUAAAUUGAUCAAUUUUUAAAAUUAAAUAAA
rnacentral:lncRNA from 1 species